rnacentral:lncRNA from 1 species
AGUAAUUCCCUGGGAUUUCACUUCCAGGCAUGCUCUGUCUGCUCCUCCAUCCUAUCCUCAGUCUGUGUGUGUGUGUAAGAAAGAAAUUGUGCUGUAUCCUCCUCUCGCUCGCUCCUCUUGUUGUGGAUCUAUUGUUAGGUGACUGACACACACACACACUCACACACACACACACACACACACACACACACACACACACACACACACACACACACACACACUCACACUCAAAGAGGAGCACAAGGUGGACUACAGAAGGCAGCAGCAGGGACGGGGCAGAGAUGGUGAGUGACGUGUUUUUGUGUGUGUGUAUGUGUGUGUGUGUGUGUCCUGCUGAUAGUUUUAUUGUUUUUUGAUUAUCUGAUGACUGAGGGUGUGUGCGGAUUAUGUCUGUUGUUGCAGAUGUUUGAGUUGAUUAUUGAUUAGCAUGCAGAGCUGCUGUGUGUGUGUGUGCGUGUGUGCGUGCGUGCGCGCCUUACACAGAAUCAGCCUUGAUCAGGUGUUUUUUUCUGGUAAGUGUAUCAGGUGCAUCAUUUUGUGUAUGUGUGUGCGUGUGUGUGUGUGUUUGCUCAGCUGCAGGCACAUCAUCCCGUCGCUUAGUGUCACCAUGGUAACCGUGAACCAGAGUUAUGACCUGACAUGCUGAUGUUUGGUGUGUGACUCUGUCUCAGCUUUCUGUGCUCCCUGGAGCCUCACAAACACUUUGCUCUAUCAAAGGGUUUUUAUUUUGGCGAUAAAUGAAUUUCAGAUUCAAAAGCUGUGUUUGUGCUGCAGCAGGAUUACUGAAUGAAUGCAUGAAUGAAGAUUUCUAUUGUGAAAGCACAGUGAAAGCUCAUUUGUGGGUCUCUAUCAAUGAAUCAACACGCGAUGUAACGAGCAGCAAAAACACACUCAGGGAUAAAAAUAACUGCAGUGAGGAACGAAAGCAGCAGAGGAGACACUUGUUUAUCAUCAAUCAGAAAAUCAAAGUCUGCAGCUCCAUGCAUCAAACUCCUCCAAAUCAGAGAAGACCAGGGCAUACAGGCUAGUCUUUGUCUGCCCUGUAGAGGAGAUUAUUUUUCUCUCCAUUUUAGAGACACAUUUUUCUAAACUUUAAACCAAGUUUUUAAAACUAGUUCUCCAAACCUCAGACUUUUGUGCCGAAGCAGUCUGAUCCAAACUGUUUAAUCUGAGCUCAGACUUGAACUCUGUUUUCACUUCACACACACACAGGAGACAGUCAAAUUACUAAGCAGCUAAUUCAGUCUGCAACAGUGAGCUGGUCAAGAUCACUGCAGGAAAAACAGAGUUCACCAAACUGUGAGUCACCAAGUAAAGUUCAUACAGGGACUUACACAGUUAAAAGCAGAAACAUUGUCAAAGGAGUAUUUAGAGAACUUACAGCAGGAGGAGGGGAGAGCAGCAGCAAAGCCUUACAGAAUAAGCAGGAAGUGUAGGCAGGCUCAAUAAAUGAUGAAUGUCUCUUUCUAGAUGCCUCUUUUAUACCAGCUUAUAAUCACAAUGAGAUAGAUUUAAAUCCUCGUGAAGCUGUGGACUGAAGGAGAGAAACCUGAAAGAUAAUCUCAUGAUGACUGACUGAGCUUUUUCAUCUUUAACAAACAGCAAAAGCACUGAGACUGUGAAGUUAACUCUCUCUGUGAGACCGGCAGCUUUAGCCGAUAACCUCUGAGUCAUCCGUCAGAAACAAAGAUCAUCUGAGAAGAUUUAUGGAGGAGUUUAGAGAAAUAGAGUCAUUUCUAACAUGAGUGCUAGGCAGAAGCUUCCAUCUUUGUUUUGGUCUGUUGACCAGUCAUAGACUGUAUCUGCUAUUAGCUGACCUGUCAAGUCCAAUCAGAGACCAGGCUUCCUACCUGAGUGGGGUAGUGACUGUAGUAGAAUGUCUUUUUGAUCCACAGUCAGUCCACUGAUGAGAAGCUGGAUGGACAAGCUAAGGGGUCAUGGCCUCAGUGAGUCCUGAUGACUGGGUUUAAGCUGAGCUGAAGUUUACACCAUUGUGUAAACUUCAUUACACAAUGUUACCUGCAGCUAUAGAUACUGACUCCUCCUCUUAAACCCUAUUAGCUCAGACAGGAAGUGACAUCACAGAGGUAAAACCACGGACCACAUAAAAACUGGAAGUAGAGUUUUGGCGGUCAUUAGUUUGAUAAUACUGACUCAUUCUAACCUUUAGUUGACCUAUCAGAAGCCUGCCUUUGGCCUCCUCGCUAAUAGCUACAGUGUGACCGCCUGUCAGUCAAGCCAGCUGUCCCUCUGAUUUGCUGUUCUUGUAACCUGAAUAUCAUCAAAACAAACAUGUUAUUAAAAAACUUUCUGACGUAAGAGCCCUCAGAUACUAAGACCCAAACGGUUCUUUCUGCUGUAAUAAUGGCUUUUUGAGUGAGUGUGUUCUGUUUCAUUUUGUUUAUCUCCGUUAGCUUUGGCUAAGGCCAUUGCUAUUCUUCCUGGAGUCUACAUUAACAAUUAGCGUUCCAUUGCAGUGCACAGUCACAAAAAACAUCACGCCACAAACACAAAGACAACGUCGAUAUCCACAACAACUCACAAAAGCCUCCAAGACAAAACAACAAGACUAGAACAAUACAAACAACAUACACAUGUUAUUGGACCUUAAACAUUUCCACAGUGUUGCUUUAGUUCUAAAACAAUCAGAUGUUCAAAUAUCAACUUACAUUCCACAUAAUUGAGUUAAUUUACAGAAACAGUACCCAAUACAUAAACAGACUUCCAAUAUUUCAAGUAGAUCAGACAAACACUGAUUGAUUGUACCAAGCUUCAUCUGAAUAAGGAGCUGUUUGACGAGUAAAUGUCCUUUAACUAGAUCUUUUAAUCUGUAUUUGUUGUGUUCUUGGAUGAUAUGUCCUGGCAGAGCAUUCCAUAUCACCAUGGCCCUAUACAUUGCGGUACUUUUUAUUUGGUUUGUUUUUAAUUUGGGUAAGGUGAAUUUACCCCCCAUAGCAUGUCUUGUUCUGUAACAGUGUUCACCCGAACUGAAAGACAAACGAUUGUGAAGAACCCUUGGCAAUUUCGUCACAGAUAGUCUUUUCAUGAAAGCUGCUAAUGAGGCAGUAAAUUUGUUCCUUACAUUCAACCAGGCUGGUUUUGUAUGGACAGUGAAGUAAAUAUUGUGCUGCCUGGUUCUGAGCCAUUUGCAGUUUCUUUAUAUGUGAUGAAGCAGCGCACAACCAAACCUCUGAAUAAUCGAGGUGUGAUAACACCAAACUAUUCAUCACACUUCCCCUUACAUUUACAGGUAAUAAAUCACAUCUCCUUAUCACCGACAGACUCCUGCCCAUUUUAUUUAUUACUUUCUCAAUAUGUUUUGCCCAUGUCAGUUCCUAGAAGUUUGGUUUCGUGCGUUUGUUCUACCAUCACAUCAUACACAUACAGCUUCAGUUUUGGCUGAUUUCUUAACAUGUUUUUUGUCCCAAACACAAUGCUGUUUGUCUUAGAGGUAUUACGAACUAAUUUAUUAUCAGUUAUCAGUUUCACCACAACUUGGAGUUCCUAAAUUAAAACACUGCUAAGUUCAUUUAUUGUGGUUUUAGCUAUAUCUAUUGUUGUAUCAUCUGCAUACACUGAAAUUUUUGCGUCCUUUAGGGUCAGUGGUAAGUUAGGCAUGUGCCGAUAUGAAAAAAUUUGAUAUCAGGAUAUUGGUGGCCCACAAUAUCAUGAUUCACGAUAUUAUCACGUUAUUAGCGCAUUGCUUUUAACGUUAUUAAAAUGGCAAAAAACUGCGAAAUCACUUCUCUGUGCACAGCAUGACACGCACAAACAAUAUAAGCAAGAGGCAGCUAAUGCCAGCUGAUGUUGGGAGCAUUAGCUUUUUGGAGCUAAAGUUAGCAGAAAUGUCACUAACGUUGCCAAUCAUAAGCAGUAGAGUAGACCAAACUUGUUGUGGUCAUGUUGUUUUUACCUUGAUUUGGGCGAACGAUGCUGGAUGGUGUUCACGGAGGUAGGCACGUAGGUUUGAAGUUUUAGAUAACGGCGCUGCAACUUCCUUACAGCAUAACCUGCAGAUUGGUGUCAGGUUUACCUGCUCCGCCUGUUUUGUGAAGCCGUAAAACAUCCAUACUGCCAACGAAACGUUUUUAAUAGGAGCAUACAGCUGACGCGUUUCGUCAUUCUCAGUCCCCGACUGUUCUUGGUCUGGUGUUAUGCCGUAGAAUGCACCCCUGCUGUUGAAUGCACCCCUGAUGGGAGCACGGUUGAAAGUACAUAACAAGGCGAAAUAAUCCAAGUUUACCUUACUGCUGGGUGGAUUCAAAAGCGUGUGCCUAAUGAUUUCAUUCAGACUAUUCAGAUAAGCCGAAAACAAUAGCCCUCUGAUUCGGAAUAUUUGCUGUCCCGAAAAUAUACUGCUGUCUACCAUGACAUCUUACUGCACAGUUUAUGUACCCAAGUACACCUCUAUAUGUGAAUUUGGACACAUAAAAACAGAACGAAAGUUUGCUGCUCCAUUUGACAUGUUGUCAUGAUCCAAUACUCGUUCUUUUUAAAAUAUCAGAUCAUAUCUCCUCCACUUUAAGAAGCUAAUGAGCGGAUGGGAUGCAUUGUGGACACACUCCAACAGUGCUUUGGGUGGCCGCAAUGCAUUGUGGGUGGCCACACAUUUUGUUGUAAAUUUUCUUCAUUUUCUCUUUUAAUGUUCCCGUUUUUGUUAGGCUGGCAUUAAUGUACUUAAUUCAAGAGUUUUUUUGGAUUUGGGACUACUUUUGUGGUGGUUUGUUUGUACAUUUUGCUGCCAAGGCUUUGACACCGUGGGUAAGACUACAAGCGGGUUAGGUUGGUUAGUACUCGGCUUCACUCGCCUAUAAAAUGUAAUUGUGGAACGAUUAUUACAGUACCUUACGAUAUCAUCAUCACAGCUAUUUAAUAUCACAUAUCGCGAUAAAAUCGUAUAUCCGCACAUCCCUAUGGUAAGUCCUUCGUGAAUAUUGAAUAUGGCAAAGGGCCAAGGCUACCACCCUGCGGGACGCCAAGGUCAAUUACUUUUGCAUCAGACAGACUUCCAUUAAAAAAGACUGUCUGUCUCCUGUUUUGUGUGUGUUUGGUUCCUGGUGUGUCUGCAGACAGCCUCCAGUGGACACUGAGAACUGCAGAUUUAACAUUUCAUGGAGGUUUCCAAACAUGUUUAAACACAGAAUCAGUGUCAGAGUGAGAGAGUGAGAUGAAAAGAGACGAAAAGAUCCCUUUGCCAGUGUGUGUGUGUGUGUGUGUGUGUGUGUGUGUGUGUGUGUGUGUGUGUGUGUGUGUGUGUGUGUGUGUGUGCCACAUGGCAGCGUUGAGCUAAUCCUGGCCAGUUCCCCUGCAAUCCUCCUGCAGAGCCAAUUGCAGCAAAGAGGGAUGAGAGGCUCUGAUGCAGCUCUGUCAGCUCUCAGUCAAGGAGCUGACAGAGAAAGAGAGAAAGGGUAGUGUGUGUUUCUGUGACUGAGUGUGUGUGAAUGAGUGAGUGUCUAUGAGACGGUGUGUGUUUUAUUGUGAGAGGAUGAGGAUUUCUCUGAGAGGCUCAUUCAGGCUCUGUCCUCACUCAGCGACUUUCAUCAUAAUCAGAAUUUACUUUCACUCAGGGAAAGUGCAACAAUUCCACGAAAUGUUCCUCUGCACAGAAACAGUUCCAAUCCUCACGUUGGCCAGUAGGUGGCGAUAAUGUGUCAAACACAACAAAAGAAUGCAGGGCAGGUGUGUUUAGUGUCCUACUGAACAAGACAAAUUUACAAACUGUUCUUACAGAACUGUUCUUCCACAAACUGGGAAAUCAAACUCAAUGAAAACUGGUGUUACUCUGGUUAUACUGCCACCUACUGGUCUGGCACACAAACCGCUGCAUUUUUGUCCUGUGGCGUCAGAAACACACAAAGGUUUUUCAAAAGUAGGGAGGGUAUUUUAAUAUUUAUAAUACAUUAGCAAUUAAAGACAAUAGUCCACAGUUCAUGACGCUGUGUCAGUUAAUAAUAAUAAUAAUAAUAAUAAUAAAAAGUUGUACAGUCUGAUGGCUGUGGGUACAAAAGAUCUUCUGAAUCUUUCUGUCCUGCAGCAAAGAGAGAGGAGCCGUCCACCACCAUUGGCCCUUUGGUCCAUUAAGGUGUUGUGUAGUGGGUGAUCCAUGUUCUUGAGAAUAGUCUCCGCUUUCCUCAGUGUGGAUCUCUCCACCACAUCCUCCACUGAGUCCAGCUUGAAUCCAACCACAGCCAGCCUUUUUCACCAGUUUGUUUGGAUGUCUUCCAUCUUUUUGUUUGAUGCGUCCUCCCCAGCAGACUGCAGCGUAGAACAGCACACUUGCCACCACAGACUGAUUAAACAUCUGCAGCAUCUUUCUACAGAUGUCUAUUAAUCAGAAUCUUCUCAGGCAGAAGAGGUGACUCUGCCCCUUUCUGUAGAUGAAGUCUAUAUUCUGAGACCAGUCCAACUUCCUGUGGAAGUCUAUGAUCAUCUCCAUUGUCUUUGAGGUGUUGAGGAGGAGGCAGUUUUUGUGACUCCAGUCAUUGAAAGCUCUUAUCAGAUCUCUGUGUUCAGCUUCCUGUUUAUUUCUGAUACAUGCCACGAUAGCGGUGUCAUCAGAGUAUUUCUGGAUGUGGCAGGACUCAGUACAAUAUUUUAAGUCUGAGGUAUACAGUGUGAACAGGAAUGGCACCAGCACUGUCCCUUGUGGAGCCCCUGUACUGCUCAUUAAUGUCCCAGAAACACAGUUCCCCAGCCUGACAAACUGUGGCCUCCUAUCAGGUAAUCUGCGAUCCAGGAAACACAGGAAGGAUCCACUCCCAUCUCUGUGAGCUUGUCUUUGAGUAUGGUGGGUUGGAUGGUGUUGAAGGCAUUUGAAAAGUCAAAGAACAUGAUCGUAACAUAAAUCCCAGGUUCCUCCAGAUGAGACAGGGCACGGUGAAGCUUGUACAGGACAGCCUCAUCCAUUCUGAUGUGUUCUUUGUUUGCAAAUUGCAGGGAAUCCAGCUUGUCUUUGACCUCAGACCUCAGAAGGCGUAGAAUCAGCCGCUCCAGGGUUUUCAUGAUGUGUGAAGUGAGGGCCACUGGUCUGUAGUCAUUGAGUUCAGCAGGACAUUUUGUUUUUGGUACUGGCACAAUGCAGGACGUUUUCCACAGAGCAGGUACCCACCCCAGCUGUAGUCUCAGGUUGAAGAUCCUGUGGAGAGGUUGACACAGUUCUGCAGCACAGCCUCUAAGCAGCCUUGGACACACACCAUCUGGACCAGCUGCCUUCCCAGGACAAAGUCUUCCAAGCUCCAUCCUCACCCCUGUUUUGGUGACAGACGAGGACUGGUGUUCUAGGAGGGAGGCAGUUGAAGUGGUUGAGACAUUUGAACAAGAUGGAAGAGGAACAGGAUAAGUUGUAGUGGAGAUUUGUUACAGAGAGGAAGGUAGAGUAGCAGAGGAAGUGGGUGUGAUAGCAGUGUCAAAUCUGUUGAAGAACAGGUUGAGUUCAUCAGCUCUUUUCACAUCAUCCACCACCGGCUGUCUUUUCUUUUUAUUGCUGUGUCCAGCGAUGGUACUGAUGCCUCUCCACACUUCACGGAUGUUGCUGUGUUGUAGAUUCUUCUCCACACUGGAGUCCGAGUUGUUUUGAUUCAACCAGGUUUCAGUAAAACACAGGAGACUGCACUCACAGUAUGCUUUCUCAGUCUUCACCAAUAUCUCCAGCUCAUUGCUUUUGUAGGGCAGGAGUGGUUGCCGUUGCCAUGGUUGCCGUGCUGGUGCAAAGGUGAAGGCAAAACUGAAUUCUAGGAGGUGGCAAUAUAAACCCUUUCUUCCAUCAAUCAUGGGAAACGUCAACUCUGUGCCCAACAAAAGCAAUGAGCUGGAGAUAUUGGUGAAGACUGAGAAAGCAUACUGUGAGUGCAGUCUCCUGUGUUUUACUGAAACCUGGUUGAAUCAAAACAACUCGGACUCCAGUGUGGAUCUACCUGGCUUCACUCUCAUAAGGUCAGACAGAGAUGCUCAAGCUAGUGGCAAGAAGAAAGGAGGAGGUCUGGCUUUAUUUGUCAACCAGAGAUGGUGUAACCCUUCACACACAAUUGUCAAGGAGAAGUUGUGUUGUCCAGUUAUUGAACUGUUGGCAGUUGCUCUUUGGCCAUGUUAUGUUCCAAGAGAAUUUAGUCAAAUCAUAACAAUAGUUGUUUACAUUCCAGCCAAAUCAACUGAAGUAAUUCCAUGUGAUCGUUUGCAUAAUAGUGUUGCCAGGCUACGGACUCAACACCCUGAGGCACUAAUAAUAAUAUCGGGAGACUUCAACCAUGUCACCCUCUCCUCUUACCUGACUGGAUUCACACAGUUUGUGAACUGUCCUACCAGAGAAAACAAGACCCUGGAUCUGCUGUAUGCCAACAUCAAAGAAGCCUACAGAGCCACUGCCUUACCACCUCUGGGCAAUUCAGAUCAUAACUUUGUCUAUCUUCAAACCUGUUACAGACCUUGCGUGCUGAGACAGCCUGUGACCAAAGUCAAAAUCAGAAGAUGGACACCUCAAGCUAGUGAAGCUCUAAGGGACUGUUUUAAAUCAACAGACUGGAGUAUGCUGCUGGAAACAGAUGUGGAUAGUAUGAACAUUGACAAACAGGUUGACUGCUUUACUGAUUAUGUCAACUUCUGUAGAGACACAGUUAUACCCACAAAAACUGUUCGCUGUUUCCCCAACAACAAACCCUGGAUCACAAGAGAAAUAAAAGCAAUCCUUAACCAGAAAAAGAAAGCUUUUAAAGAUGGUGACAAAGAACAACUCAAACAAGUGCAACAAGAGAUGAAGAGGGGAGUAAAGAUGGCAAAGCCUGAGUACAAAAAGAAGAUAGAGAAUAAUCUACUAAAUAGCAACAUCUGUGAAGUGUGGAGAGAAAUCAGUACCAUCUCUGGACACAGCAGUAAAAAGAAAAGACAGCCGGUGGUGGGUGAUGUGGAAAGAGCGAAUGAACUAUUCUAAAAUACAUCUUCUGAUACAACUUAAACACAUCUUCAGUAAUGUAUCCUGAGUUCAUAGGGUGUUUCGGGUCUUGCAACAUUAUACACCCUCGCCCAGGCGACCCAGCCACGGUUGAUCAAGCCGCGGCUUGUGUUCAGGUGGCAUUCACUUGUCCCCAUGGUUCUCCUUUUCAGAUCCAGAGCCAUCUCGAGGCUUUCUCAGCUGCCUCAGUGGUGUUCUUGAUGGCUCUGCUCCUUGCGCUUCCCGUAAUGCCCAACAUGCUCAGGGCUUUGUGGAGUGAGCGUCCCACAAUUCCCCUGCUGCCAACUUCGAUGGGCAUACAUCGUGCCUUCCAGCCCUGUUGACAACAUUCGAUUACCAGAUGUUCAUACUUGGUCCUCUUCCUUUCAUGGGUCUCCCCCAAGCGGUCCUCCCAUGGCGCCGUCAGCUCCAUGAUCACGAUGUUCUUGGUGCUCUCUGAGACCAGGAGGAUGUCUGGCCUCAGGGUGGUGCUGACGACGUGCUGGGGGAACCGUAGCUGCUUCUCUAGAUCUACCGAGAGCUGCCAAUUUUGGGCAGUUGCCAGGAUCCCUGCUGGUGCCUUCUUGCCACCUGCCUUUGGCUGAACUUCUGCUUUGACAAAAGCGAUGGUGUCGGUGGUGUUGCGCACCUGGCAACAGCUGCUGAUACCCCUGCUGAUGGCUUCAGCAAUUGGCUUCAGCACCUGGUUGUGGCGCCAGAUGUAUCGGCCUUGGCCGAGUGCUGUUGGGCAGGAGCUCAGGAUGUGUUCCAGUGUUCCUCUCCCUGAGCGCAGCUGGCAGCUCGGGGUCUCCACCUUCUCCCAGGUGAAUAGGUUUGCUGGGCUUGGUAGGACGUCGUAGACUGCCCGGAUUAGGAAGCUGAUACGGUGUGGGUCAGCCUGCCACAGGUCCGUCCAGGUGACUUUCCGGUCCAUGGCGUGCUCCCAUCUGGUCCAGGCCACCUGCUGCCUGAGACCAGCCACUCUGCUUGUUCUCCCUUCCUCCACUGCAGUCCUGACCUCCUCCUGUAUGCCUUUGCUGUUCCGUCCCCUUGCACUCCCUGUGUCAAGGUGGUGUUGGGAACAUCCCCAGACCUGCUCUACCGUGGGCCACUACACCCACCAGAUCUCUGUGGCGCAGCCUUGCCUCCGCAUCCAGCACAGCAGACUGGGCACUCCACUUCCUCCCGGUCUUCACCACGACUCCUGCCUGGGCCACCUUUGGGUCCUUUGAGUCUCGGUACAGCAGCGCCUCUCUGGUCCGAGUCACCUUGAACUCCUCCUCCUCCAGAGACUUCAAGGGCAACCGGAGCUUUGUGGUGUUCCCAUAGAGGGCAAUGUUACUGAGGCUCCUGGGCAACCCCAACCAUCUUCUGAGACAGAAGGUGACCAGGUGCUGACCUUCCUCUCCAAGGUCUCCACCGUGGAGAUGGUGACCUCAUAGACAAGUAAUGGCCAGAGUAUCCUUGGUAAGAUCCCAUGCUAGUAUAUCCAUGCCUUAAACUUGCCUGGGAGGCCAGAUCUGUCUACUGCUCUCAGCCAGCUGUCUAGUUCCUGGCAGGUUGACUGGACCGAUGUGGAGUCUUUGAGGCUGCUGUCAAACACCUUGCCCAAGCUCUUCACAGGCUUUUCUGAGAGUGAUGGUAUCGUUAACCCUGCGAUGUUGAACCGGAACCUGUCCAUGACCUUGCCCCUCUUCACCACCAGUGAUCUGGACUUGGCUGGUUUGAAUCCCAUCCGAGCCCAACAGAUGAGCCUUUGCAGCCCUUGGAGGAUCCACCUGCACCCUGGCACUGUCUCCGUGGUGACUGUCAGGUCGUCCAUGAAAGCCCUGAUUGGGGGUUGGCGAGUCCCUGAUUGGGUCUGUGGGCCUCUGCACUCUGGCUCCGCCGACUUCAAAAUCAUGUUCAUCGCCAGGGCAAACAAGGUUACAGAGAUGGUGCAGCCUGUAAUUAUGCCCACCUCCAACUGGUGCCACUCUGAUGUUACUUCCCCUGCUGUGACUCUCAUCCUGAACUGAUUGUCAUAAUCCAGGAUGUGUUCUGCAACUUGGUGUGGCACAUGGUGUUUGGUCAUGAUGGUCUGGACCAGUUUGUGUGGGAUGGAGUCAUAUGCAUUGGCUAGGUCUAACCGCAGAACUGUAAGGUCUCCCUUGUUCUCCCGGGAUUCCCGGAUGAGCUGAGUCACCACUCCAGUGUGUUCUAGACUGCCCGGUACUCCGGCGAUCCCUCCCUUUUGCGAUCCCUCCCUCCCUUGAAGUCCGCCAGCCUCCUUGCUACUAUGCUGAAGAAGAUCUUUCCUUCCACGCUCAGCAGGGAGAUGAUUCUGAACUGGUUGAUCUUCUUGGAAUCUUUCUCUUUGGGGAUCCAGACUCCUUCAGCAAAUCUCCACUGCUGUGCCACCUUUCCCCUCCUCCAUAUGACUCUGAGGAUCUUCCAGAGUCUCUUCAGUAGCAAUGGACAGUUCUUGUAGACCUUGUAUGGCACACCACUAGGUCCAGGGGCGGAGCUAGCUCUUGCCUUCUUCACAACCUCCUGAACCUCUUUCAGAAGUGGCUCCCUGGUGUCAAACUCCUUAGUAGGAGGUGGUGGGUCUACAAGGAAAAUACACUGCUAGGAUCACUGUAGGUGUUGUGGAAAUGCAAGUCAACUUUCUCCUUGGAACAUUCCAGGUUCCCAUCCCGUUUCUGUCCUAGCAGCUGUUUGGUGAAGCCAAAGGGGUUGGCUAUGAACGAAGCACGCUUCCUGGAUCUCUCUUUCCCGCGCAUUCGGUGGUAUUCAGCUCUGCGCAGGGUCAUCAGCCUUUUCCUCAAGAUAGCCCGCAGUUCUGCCAAGGGGGGGCGUUGCUCCUCACUGGCUGCUUUGUGCUGCUUCUUGAGGGACUUCAGUUCCUGUCGGAUUCUGUGGAUCUUCACUGCCCGUUGGUUCAUGGUGUAGGACGUCCGAGCUGCUCAACUCAACCUGUUCUUCAACAGAUUUGACACUGCUGUCACACCCACUUCCACUGGCUGCUUAGAUACUGUGCUGCAGAACUGUGUCAACCUCUCCACAAGAUCUUCAACCUGAGACUACAGCUGGGGCAGGUACCUGCUCUGUGGAAAACAUCCUGUAUUGUGCCAGUACCAAAAACAAAAUGUCCUGCUGAACUCAAUGACUACAGACCAGUGGCCCUCACUUCACACAUCAUGAAAACCCUGGAGUGGCUGAUCCUACGCCUUCUGAGGUCUGAGGUCAAAGACAAACUGGACUCCCUGCAGUUUGCAUACAAAGAACACAUUAGAGUGGAUGAUGCUGUCCUCUACAUGCUUCACCGUGCCCUGUCUCAUCUGGAGGGACCUGGGGUUUAUAUGAAGAUCAUGUUCUUUGACUUUUCAAGUGCAUUCAACACCAUCCAACUCACCAUACUCAAAGACAAGCUCAUAGAGAUGGGAGUGGAUCCUUCCUGUGUUUCCGGGAUCACAGAUUACCUGACAGGAAGGCCACAGUUUGUCAGGCUGGGAAACUGUGUUUCUGGGACAUUAAUGAGCAGUACAGGGGCUCCACAAGGGACUUCAAAUACAGUACUGAGUCCUGCCACAUCCAGAAAUACUCAGAUGACACCACUAUUGUGGCAUGUAUCAGAAAUAGAAAAGAAGCUGAAUUCAGAGAUCUAGUAAGAGCCUUCAGUGACUGGAGUCACAAAAACGGCCUCCUCUUCAACACCUCAAAGACAAAGGAGAUGGUCAUAGACUUCCGUAGAUCCAAACCCCCUCUUCAGCCAGUGAUCACCUGUGGAGUGGAUAUCAAAGUGGUGACAUCAUAUAAAUACCUAGGUGUACAUCUGGAUAAUAAGUUGGAUUGUUCUAAGAAUAUAGACUUCAUCUACAGAAAGGGGCAGAGCCGCCUCUUUUGCCUGAGAAGACUCUGUAGUAAGAUGCUGCAGAUGUUUUAUCAGUCUGUAGUGGCAAGUGUGCUGUUCUAAGCUGCAGUCUGCUGGGGAGGAAGCAUCAUACACAAAGAUGCAAGACAUCUUAACAAACUGGUGAAAAAGGCUGGCUCUGUGGUUGGACUCAAGCUGGACUCAGUGGAGGAGGUGGUGGAGAGAUCUACACUGAGGAAGGUGGAGACUAUUCUCAAGAACAUGGAUCACCCACUACACAACACCUUGAUGGACCAAAGGGCCAAUGGUGGUGGACGGCUCCUCUCUCUUUGCUGCAGGACAGAAAGAUUCGGAAGAUCUUUUGUACCAACAAGUGUGCUGUUCUACGCUGCAGUCUGCUGGGGAGGAAGCAUCAUACACAAAGAUGCAAGACGUCUUAACAAACUGGUGAAAAAGGCUGGCUCUGUGGUUGGACUCAAGCUGGACUCAGUGGAGGAGGUGGUGGAGAGAUUUACACUGAGGAAGGUGGAGACUAUUCUCAAGAACAUGGAUCCCCACAUGACUGUGACUACGGGCCAGGUUAGGAGACAGCUGGAGAGGCUCCACCAGAGGAAGGCAGCAAGACCUGAUGGCAUCAGCCCUAGGAUCCUGAGGACCUGCGCCAGCCAGCUGUCUGCUGUCAUCCAACACCUCUACAACCUGAGCCUGAGUCAAGAGAAAGUCCCAGUGCUGUGGAAGACGUCCUGUCUCGUUCCUGUCCCAAAGAAGUCGACUCCAUCUGACCUCAAUGACUACCGACCAGUUGCCCUCACUUCCCAUCUGAUGAAGGUGCUGGAGAGAUUGGUCUUGGCCCACCUGAGGCUGCAGGUGAAGGAGCUCUUAGACCCUCUACAGUUUGCCUACCAGCCCCAUUUGGGAGUCGACGAUGCUGUCAUCUACCUGCUGCAACGAGUUCAUCUGCAUCUGGAUGGUGGUGGCAGCACUGUGAUUUCACUGUGACUUCUUUGAUUUCUCCAGUGCUUUCAACACCAUCCAGCCACUGCUGCUGGGUGAGAAGCUGCGGGUGAUGGGUGUCGACACCUCCAUUGUCUCCUGGAUCACCGACUACCUGACGGACAGGCCACAGUUUGUCCGUCUGGGUAGUGUUCUGUCUGACGUGGUGGUCAGUGAUGCAGGAGCUCCACAGGGGACUGUGCUGUCCCCUUUCCUUUUCACCUUGUACACCACUGACUUUCAGUACAACUCCGAGUCAUGCCACCUGCAGAAAUUUUCUGAUGACUCGGCUGUUGUUGGGUGUAUAAGCAGGGGAAGGGAUGGGGAGUACAGAGCAGUGGUGGAUAACUUUGUGGAGUGGGCUGGACGCAAUCACCUGAGGCUGAAUGUCACCAAGACCAGAGAGAUGGUCAUCGACUUCAGGAAGAAGAGGAGGGCUUCACAGCCACUUUGCAUCCUGGGAGAAGAUGUGGAGGAGUUGGAGGUAUAGUCCAUUUUUUAAAAAUCCUACCACAUCACAUUACUGAGCACCUUAAGUUGUCUGUAUAUCUAUCACCCCAGCUGUAAUAUUUCGCAUUUCAUAUUUAUUACUCAUUUCAAUAGCCCACAUUCUUCAUAUCUCACUUUUAUCUCUUAGGAUGUUUAGUAUAUUUAGUCUGUAUUUAUUGUAUAUACUUAGUAUUUUUAGUAUUUUUAGUCUGCAUUGUACUUACUUCUACUUAUAUUUAAUGUUAUUUUGUAUUUUCUUUUGCUGCUGUAACAAGAGAAUUUCCCAGUUUGGGAUCAAUAAAGUCUUUUAUUAAUUUAUUAGAAGUAAUAUUAAUAAUAUUACUUCUAUUACUAUUACUACUAUUAUUAUUACAUUUUCUACUAUUACUAUUACUUGUACUUCUAGUACUUUUACUACUUUUACUACACUGUUACUACUAUAACUACUACUACUUCUUUUACUACUAUUAUCAUUACAUUUACUACUUUUACUAUUACUUCUAUUUCUUUUACUAUUACUUUUAUUAUUAUUAUUAUUAUUAUUAUUAUUAUUAUUAUUAUUAUUAUUAUUAUUUUAUUUUAUGUACGGUAAAUUUAGCACAGUUUUAGUUGGUACACCAGAGCUCACUGAAGACCAAAAUUAGUCUCCUGUACUUUGCCUCAUAGUUACAACAGAGUUACACUGAGUCUGAGGACAAAAUUAUCACAAAACCCCAUCUGAGUCCAUCCUUACCUUUCUACAGGAUUAGUGUGUAGCCAGGUCUUUAAGCUGAGAAGUCUAUACUCUAGAGUCCCUUUCUACUGUGGGGGAAAAAGGUGAUGGUUUCAUCACCCUCAACUGCAUGCAGCUCAAACUCAGCCAGUGAUGGACCAUAGCAAGAAGGUAAUUAACUGCCACUCAGAAGCAGCCAACUACGGCUUUGUAGCAACUACAAGCCACUCAAUAAACUCUGUUGCAGCCGACUGCAGCGAGGUAAAAACCCACUGUGACUUUCCUUCCCUCAGCAGAUCUUGCUGCUGGUGGAUUUGGGGUUCUGUUUGGGUUUGUAGCAUCUAAAUAUGGAGUCGUGUUUGAGGUUUCAGUAUCACUCAGCUGUGAUUGACUCUCCAUGACUGUGGUGUCAGAGGCAGCCUUCACUGGCUGCUAUCAGAGUGUGAGCAGAGCUGGAAGAGUAAACCUGUAAACCUUUAACCUUUGACAAACUGCUGAUCGACAGAGUCAUGAUUUCUGUUUCUACCCUCCAGGCUGAAGAACUGACCCACCAUCACAGAUAAAUAACACAAACUUCUAAAAACUGAGUUUACAAAAGAAUCAGAAACCCUGGGUCUGAUUCAGAUCUUUAUUUUUCUGUCAGAGAGAAAAUAAGACAGAGACUCUAAGAGCCACCAUGUGACAGAAAGGUUAAGACCACACACACACACACACAAACACACACACUCCCUCCCUCCAUAACCAUGGCAACAGUCAUAUCAACAGGGCAGCCCCGCUGAAGAGAGAGAGGAAACAAAAGAACACUGCAAGACAACAACCCCUCCUCACUAUGCCACAUGAAACCGUACUGAACAAUAAACUAAGCUCCUGAGUGACGGUGUGUGUGUGUGUGUGUGUGUGUGUGUGUGUGUGUGUGUGUGUGUGUGUGUGUGUGUGUGUGUGUGUGUGUGUGUGUGCGUGCGUGUGUGUGUGUGUAUGUGUGUAGGGAGGGGCAUUUGUCAGAGUUGGCCUGUCCUCUGAACAAACGGUCAGCAGCUACAUAGAGACAAAGAGACAGAGUCUGAUGGUCCAGUUUGUACUCAAUCAGCAAAGCUGACAGCUGCUGCUCACAGAGGAUCAUGUUGGAUGAUCAUAUUUAAUUGUCAUGUUUAAUGAUCAUAUUGGAUGACCAUAUUUAAUGAUCAUUUUGGAUGAUCAUGUUUAAUAAUCAUGUUAGAUGAUCAUGUUGGAUGAUCAUGUUGGUGCAGUCAAUGUCUCAAAAAGGACUUUCUGAAUCUCUCAGGUGUGUCUUUGUCAUGAGUCGCACACACUUCUUUUUUCUGCAUCCCUCUUUUUUUGUUCCUUUCUCUCUCUUUUCCUAUCUUCCUCUCUCUUUCUCUCACUCUCUUUUACUGACUGUGUCACAGCUGAAGAAAAGCUCAGUUUUUAUGUAAGUGUGUAUGUGAACAGAUCUGACCCUCCACACCGCCACCAUGAAGUGCACAUUUAAGGUCUCAAUUAUCUGUAAAAAAAAUAGAACAUGACUGCGCACAGACCUCAUAAACCCUUAUUGACUCUCAUAAACUCUAAUUGACUCUUGUUAGCUCUCAUGAACUCUCAUUGAAUCCCAAGAACUCCCAUUAUUUCUCAUUGACUCUUUUAAACCCUUAUUGACUCUCAUAAACUCUCAACGACUCUCAUAUAAACACUCUAACUCUCAUUAACCUUCAUUGACUCUCAGAAACACUCAUUGACUCUCAUAAACACUGAUCUCAUAAACCCUCAUUGACACUUAUAAACCCUCAUUGACUCUCAUAAAUACUAUGAAUCUCAAGAAUUCUCAUUGAGUCUCAUAAACACUCUGACUCUCAUAAACCCUCAUUGACGCUCAUAAACACCCUUAUUGACUAUCAUAGACUCUCAUUGACUCCCAUAUACAAUCCGACUCUCAUUAACCCUCAUUGACUCUCAUAAACACUGACUCUCAUGAAUUCUCUUGACUCUCAUAAACACCCUGACUCUCAAAAACCCUCACUGACUCUCAUAAACCCUUAUUGACUAUCAUAGACUCUCAUAAACACUUUGACUCUCAUGAAUUCUCAUUGACUCUUAUGAACCCUCAUUGGCUCUCAUAAACUCUUAUUGAUUCUCAGUAAAUCUGUAAAUUACUCUCUAAUGUCAAAUGACCUUUUUAAUAAGGAAUGAUUACAGGGAUAUCUUAUUCCCGCACAUGCCUCUUCAUUUUCUGUCAGAAAUGAUCGAUCCUGAACUCUCCUGAUGAUGUUUUUAUACAGCCAAACACCUAGAUGAUAAGUCAUCUACGGUCUGACCUUGGCUUAGUUUUUCAGGAGAUAUGAGACUGACAGCAGAAGCUCAGAUUGGUCACAUCUGAAGAUCUUUCAUCCUCAUCUGUCUUUUUUAGGUUUGUCUCAUCAUGAGUGUCCCCUCACAGUAAAGGGACAUCCAUGAGGAGACAUGUGCUGAAAGUUUUUAAAGGACAGUUUCAGGUUUUAUGGAGGUUUGAAGAGUCCAAAGAGCAGCACAGCUGUUUGGUCCAGCCUCAGCUCUUAUUUUAUCAGCUACAGUCUGAGGAUCAUCCGUCCUCUGAGAGUGAGGAUUAGACACCUCCAGCCCAUCCCUUCUGUAGGGGUCAGAGUAACACCUGGGGGUCCUCAGGAGGAGCUGAUGAUGAUCUGCAGAGGAACGUCUGGGAUCAGUUAAAGCUGCUGUUUGUAAAGCUGACCUCUACUGAAGGAGGUUUCUUUUCCUCUCCAGAGGGAAAUCCACCUUCACAUAUUCAGUUUUUUGUCAGUCCAGGAUGUGGAGGAGUCUCAGUUUGGUCCUGUGUGAAACUUAGUUUCAGACUCAGUGAUCCUCUCAUUCAGAGGAUGGAUGUAUGGAUGUGAGAAAACUGAGCAUGCUCAGUGACACUGACAUUAGCUGGAUGAGACAGCUCAGUUUGAUUUGUAUCUCUUCCUUUUGUAAUAAAUGUUCACCUCAUUAAGGUUAUUGUCUAUUUUCCUUCUCCUUCCCAAGUCUUGUGGUCCUGGCAGGACUAAAAUCGUACUCAGACCUGGUCCAACUUUGGUGUAACCCUCUACCGAGGCUUUUAAAUUUUUUUAAGUGUAUACUGAAUAUUCUGCAAAAAGCAACACCUGGUGGUGGUUUGAGGUAAGGUCUUGGACAUGUUUUCAUUAGUUUACUUUUCUGGUAAUUAAACUGAAAAGUAUUAAGGACUUUAAACCAGCAGAAACAGGCAAACACACUCUGGCAUGUUUACAGCUAAAUAAGUAUGAUUGUGUUACUUUGUUCAUACUGUUACUGCCUGGCUGAAGACAGAUAACAAGAAGGGAGGCAACACUCAACAAUAACCAUUAACCAAGAUAUUUUAUUUAACAAAGAUGAUUAUCAAUCAGUAUGAGGUGUCAGGAUUAAGAUCAGUAGUGUCAGCAAGUGUUGGAUGUGUGAGCAUGUGUGUGGUGGAUGUUGUAAGAUGAACAUACCCAAAAUGGUGGUGGCUGGUGUGGUAGAUGCAGGCCCUGCCAUGAUAGAGAGCUAAAGCUUUUCAGCCGAGAUUGAGAUUGAGAUUUGAUUUAUUGGUCCCCUUGGGGAAAUUCAUCUUCACUGACUGUACAUUAUGGGAAAGACAACGACAUUGCACAUUACAAACAUCAACAAACAGUAAGGACAGACAUAAAUAGUGUGGGACAGUUACAACAGCAAAAGGUGACAGGCUGGUCAGAUAGGUCAGCGGGGCCUGCUGUUGAGGGCGGCAAUAGCUGCAGGGAUCAGGCUUUUCCCAAGACGGGCCCUCCUGAAUUUUAGUGUUCUGUAUCUGCGCCCAGAGGGUAGUGGAAUGAUGUGUCGGUGUAAUGGGUGAGUGAUGUCCUGGACUAAUGUGUUUGCCAGUCAAGUGAUGGACCUGUUAUUUAAUUUUGUAAGGUUGGGUGUGGGGAGGCCAAUGAUUUUAGCAACUGUGUUUGUGAGGUGUGACAGUUUGGCCCGGUUGGUGACAAAUAGCAUGGUGUAAAAACAUGUAGAGCAGUACAGAAGGAUGGGUUGUAUAAUGCUUUUGUAGAGUAACAACAGAAGAUGAGGUGCAACAUAUAGUCCACAGAUGGCUAAGUUUGCAGAUGGCUGACGGUCUUUGUUGGCUCCUUUUUUGAAUGUCCGUGGUGUGCUGAUCAAAGGUGAGUUUAUUGUCCAGAGUUAUUCCAAGAUAUUUAAAAGUGUCGACUGUCUCGACUGUGCCCGCCCUGAUCUCGACUAUGCCCAACUAUGCGGAGCGCAGGUGGAAAAAGGACAGACUGCAUGUGUCUCUUGGCAUCUUUAAAGAUAGCCUUUGGAAUUAUCAGAAAAUUGUGAAAGCCGAGAAGAAUAAAUACUUCUCAGAAUUAAUUGCUUUUAACUGUAACAACCCCAGAGCUCUGUUCAAAACCACAAACACUGUCCUUGAGGCUCCCAAGUCUCUUGGUUUUGAUGCCUCCACUGAAAUUUGUGAAAAAUUCCUCCACUUCUUCACUGAUAAAAUUAUGUCAACCAGAGCCUGUGUCUCUCAACCUUCGUAUGAUCCUUCAGCCCCUCUGCACCCCUCAUCUGUCUUUGCCAAAUUUGAGUCUGUGUCCCUCUCUAUUUUUAAGGACAUAGUCAGCCAUAUGAAGCCUUCUGGUUCCCCUGCAGAUGCCAUCCCCCCUCGCUUGUUUAAAGAAGUACUUGCCACUAUUGGACCAAGUGUCCUUAAUAUUGUUAACAGUAGCCUCUCCUCUGGUACAGUACCUAAGGAUUUUAAACAUGCUGUAGUACGACCUCUACUUAAAAAAACUGGCCUUGACAUAUCCCUCUGUGCCAGUUUCAGACCCAUCUCAAAUCUUCCAUAUCUGUCCAAGAUUCUAGAGAAGGUGGUCUACAAUCAAUUGUUGCCAUUUUUUGGAAGAUUAUGGUAUCACAGAGUUGUUCCAGUCUGGUUUUAAAGCUCUCCAUAGCACAGAGUCAGCGCUUUUAAAGGUGUCUAAUGAUAUUCUCAUGUCAACAGACUCUGGAAAGUUUGUUGUCCUUGUGCUCCUAGAUCUGUCUGCUGCAUUUGACACUGUUGACCACAGCAUUUUAAUCUCUCGCCUGGAGCACUGUGUGGGCAUUAAGGGUGUCGCCCUGGACUGGUUCCGGUUGUACUUAACGGACAGAAGUUUCUUUGUUCAACUUGACAACUCUGUGUCGUCAACAGCUCCCCUCCCACAUGGGGUCCCCCAGGGCUCAAUCCUCAGCCCUCUUUUAUUUGCCUUUUAUCUACUCCCCCUUGGUUCUGUUUUUAGGAAACAUGGCAUCUCCUUUCAUUUUAAUGCUGAUGAUUGCCAGAUCUAUUUUCCACUGGCACAGAACAACUCCGACUCAGUCCAACAACUUACUGACUGCCUUAAGGACAUUAAAGCCUGGCUUUCUUUUAACUUCCUCAGCCUUAAUGAGAACAAGACUGAAGUAAUGAUGUUUGGACCAAGUGGCAGCCACCCCCCCAACAUCAACCUAUGCUCCCUCUCACCCUAUCUGAAGGCUGUCGUCACUAAUCUGGGAGUUAAGUUUGACCCUGAUUUUAAAUUUGAGAAGCAGAUCAGCAGGGUGGUACAAAAAAGUUUUUAUCAGCUACGUCAAACAGCGAAGGUGAAGCCCAUUUUAUCAAGAUCUUACCUGGAAAAAUUAAUCCAUGCUUUCAUCACUACCCAUCUUGAUAACUGUAACUCUCUGUAUGUAGGGUUUAGCCAGGCUUACCUUGCCCGCCUGCAGCUUGUGCAGAACUCUGCUGCACGUCUCCUCACCCAGACCCGCAGGCGUGAGCACAUCACCCCCAUCCUGGCAUCCUUACACUGGCUCCCUGUACAGCACAGAAUUAAUUUUAAGCUUUUAAUAUUUGUUUUUAAAAGCCUGAACAAUCUUGCUCCACUUUACAUCUCUGAGAUGCUCCAGCCUUAUUGCCCACCCUGACCCCUAAGAUCAGCCGAUCAGCUGCUACUGACGGUCCCAAAUACAAGGCUGAAGCUCAGAGGGGACAGAGCGUUUGCUGCUGCUGCCCCGAAGCUCUAGAAUGAGUUGCCCCUGAAAAUCAGACAGGCCUUCUCAUUUCCUGUUUUUAAAUCCCUUUUAAAAACGCACUUUUACUCCUUGGCUUUUGAUACUUUUUAGUGUUAUUUUGUUUUUUAUCAUCUUAGCACUUGCCAUGAGCCUGCUUAUUAAUUUACUUAUUUAUUCCUUUGCAUUAAUGUAUUUCUGCUCGCUUUAUCUUGUGCUUUGACUGUGUUAUUUGUUUUUAUGUGUCAUUGUACAGCACUUUGGCUACCCUUGUGGUUAUUUUAAAUGUGCUAUAGAAAUAAAGUUGAUUGAUUGAUUGAUUGAUUGAUUGACUGAUUGUGCGUUUAUGAUGAUGGGAUCCUUGGGUGAGGGGGGGCUGAAACAUAAUUCUUUUGUUUUAUUGACGUUGAUCUCCAGGUCUGUGCAUAGCUUGGUGAAGUGGGUGAGUGUGUUGUGGUAGUCCAGAAUGGAUUGAUUGUCAGACAGGAGUGCAAGAAUGGCUGUGUCAUCUGAGUAUUUAAGAUGUGUCGUGGUGGGUGAGAUGCUGCGGCAGUCAUUGGUGUAAAGUACGUACAGGAAUGGGCUCAACACACAUCCCUGUGGGACCCCGGUGUUGAUGGUGAGUGCAGGGGAUGUGGUUGAGCCCACCCUUACUGCUUGUAGUCUGUCGGUGAGGAAGUUGUGGGUGAGGUGGAUCAGCUGAGGGGGGAUGUUGAGAUUGUGUAGUUUCUGGAUCAGUAGGUGCUUCUGUAUGGAGAUGAAGGCGGAGCUGAAGUCCACGAAGAGGAUCCUGGCGAAGUUGCCUGGGGAGUCCAGAUGCUGGAGGAGGAGGUGCAGCAGGCUGGCCACAGCGUCCUCGGUGCCCCUCCUUGCCUUGUAGGCAAAUUGGAGGGGGUCCAGAUGUGGAGUGACAAGUGGAAGGAUGAUGUUCAGCAGUAGUUUCUUCAGGCACUUCAUUAUUAUGGAUGUGAGGGCUAUGGGGCGGUAGUGGUUGAGUUCUGUAGGUCUGGGUUUUUUCGGUACUGGAAUUAUGGUUGCAGUUUUCCAUAGUGUGGGAAUUGUGGCAGUCCAGUAUGAUUGGCAGAAGAGUAAGUGAAGGAUAGGGGCGAGUUCCAUGGCACAGUUCUUGAUCACCCUGGCUGGAAUGCCAUCGGGCCCUGGGGCUUUGCCUGCCUUACAUUGGCUCAGCUGGCGCCGUACCUCCUCCUCAGUGAAGGGGGCCGGUUCUUCAGGGUCUGGUGGUGGGAGGGCUCUCAGUAGAUCCUGACACUCCGAUGAGAAAUCAUGCCUGUCGAAACGGGUGUAGAAAGUGUUUAGGCCCUUGGUGAAUGUUUCAGGGUUACUGACUGUACAUGUGGAUUUGGGUUUACACCCAGUCAGGGUUUUCACCUUCUGAAAGGCUUGCUUGGUGUUCAUGGUGCUGAAUUCUAUUUCCAGUUUGUUUUUAUAGUCCAGUUUGGCUUUUAACACCUCGUUCUCCAGAGUCCUAUUUGUUGCCUUGAGGCUGGUCCAGUCCUUGUGCCUGAAGGAUUUAUGUUUUUCCCUCAGGCUCUGUUUUAACUGUGGGGUAAUCCAUGGUUUAGAGUUGGGAUAGAUCUUUAUUGUUUUGGUUGGGAUUGUGGAGCUUAUGCAGAAUUUGAUGUAGUCUGUAAUGAUAGAGACCUUGUCAUCUAGACUGCCAUCAAAAAUGUCCCAGUCGGUGCAGGCUAAGGAGCCUUGGAGUUGUGUGAUGGCAUCCUCCGUCCACUGGGGGGCACUGCUGCACUGUGGUUUGUGGCGCUUUAGUUCCUGUUUGUAGAGCAGAAGUAAACAGAUGACGUUGUGGUCAGCAGCUCCAAGCGGUGGAUUUGAACGGGCACAGAAGGCAUCGGCGAUGUUCCCGUAACAUAAAUCCAAUAUGUUUACCCUUCUUGUUGGAAUAUCCACAAACUGCUGGAAUGAUGGUAAUACACUGUCCAGUCUGCAUCCGUUAUAGUCCCCCAGAAUAAGCAGCGGAGUGCCAGGGUACCGGACCAGCAUGGCAUUGGCAUCCUCGGCUAUUAGCUCCGCUGCCAUGUUGAUGUUGGCACUGGGGGCUACAUAGACACAGCUGACCACAACCGUUGGAAAUUCCCGGGGGAGAUAGAAAGCACAAAGGGACAGGGUCAGCAACUCCAGGUUGGGUGUGCAUACUUUACGGUGCACUUUGAUGUUAUUACACCACCUGUCAUUGAUGUAAAGGCAGACCCCCCCGCCUCGCGUCUUCCCUGAGUGUCUCGUCCUGUCGGACCUGAUGAUCGUGAAGUUUUCCAGGCUCACCUCAGAGUCAGGAACUGACUCAUCCAACCAGGUCUCGCAAAGAGCAACGAUACAGAUGUCCCUGAAGGCCCUUUCAAAUAGGCACCUUGCGUGCAGUAGAUCCAUCUUGUUACGGAGUGAUCGUACAUUGGACAUGAUGAUGGUGGGGAGGGGAGGUUUGAAGGGACGUCUCCUUACCCGGCUUCGGAUACCUCCACGCUUUCCCCUUUUCUUCGGCCGAAGCUGCGGUGGUAGGACCACAGCAGGCUUGGUGUUACUCCACAGUGAGGCUCGAUGUAACAGGAGUUCAUCUCGGCUGUAGGUGAGUAGCCGGUUGCCGGUGUCGGGCUGUCGUGUGAGGCUGUCGCAGAUCAGCCAUAGUAUUGCGAGAAAAACAGUGAUCACUUUGUAGCUUAUCAUGGCUGAUCAGUCUGGUUUAGCCCAUGUACAGUGUGAAAAUUUCACAGUAUAAGCACAUAAAAAAGAAAACACGCACGUAGAAAACACUAAACACAGAAGACACGGUGUACAGUCAGUGCUGUCGCAGCAGAGCGUGCACCAUCUUGUAAAACUGGCUUCAUAUGCUGUUUUUACUCCAGACUUUUUAUGCUUUCUGGCCCUGCCCUGUUGGGCAGGUAAUUCAGCCCCUCCCAGCUCCACCCUCCACCAUCUCCCUGAGGCUGCAACACAGAUAAUAAUAAUAUUUAACACUGUUCUUGUGCAUAGCCAAUCUGGUAUGAAGAUGAACAUAAUUUAUUCUACAACCUGCAUAUGGUUCUCCCUUGAACACCAGACCACCAACUCGGCAACCUCGGUACCUAAGGAAGCAGUUUAAGAGAGGGACAGCCAACAUGGACAGGGAGAUACACCUCAGGGAGAACACUUCCUACACAGACAUGGCACGAGACAUGGCAUCAGCCAUUGUGUUCUCAACCCCCUUUACAUGCCAAACCUCUAAAUUUAAUGGCUGGUGGAAAAGACAUCAGCGCAUAAGUCGCUGAUUUGGAUUCUGCAGAGAGUGGAGAAAAGUGAGAGGAUUGUGGUCAGUGUACACCACUAAUGGUGACACGCCUCCACCAACAUAAACUUCAAAAUGCUUCAAUGCCCAAAUGAGAGCCAGUGCCUCUUUUUCAAUGAUAGAAAAGUUCAACUGGUGUAAGUUGAACUUUCUAGAAAAGUAACUUACACCCUUGUCGUCGGCUUGCAUGAGUACUGCACCAGCUCCAACCUUGCUAGCAUCCACAUACAAUACAAAUGGCCGGUCCAUCUGUGGAGCAACUAAGACAGGGGCAGAACACAACAAAGUCUUGACAGAUUCAAAUGCAUUUUGACAAACUGUAGACCACUCAAACUUCACCUUUGUGCUAAGGAGCGAAGUAAGUGGAGCAGCUACAGUGGAGAAAUCCUUGCAAAACCCACGAUAGUGACCCACCAUACCGAGGAAGUGAGAGAGCUCUUUUUUGGUUGUUGGAACUGGAAACUGAUCAACAGCCAAAACCUUUGCUCUCACAGGACGUACCAAACCCUGGCCAACCACUUAUAUGUGACACCAGAUAUGUGACUGUUGCCUUGGCAAACUCACAUUUUGCAAGGUUAAUCGUCAAUGAUGCCCAAGCCAGUCGGUCAAACAGUGCCCUGACGUGCUUCAGGUGAUCGUGCCAUGUAUCACUGUAAACAACAACAUCAUCCAGAUAUACAGCACACCCUUCCAGACCUGAAACCACCUUGUUCAUUAGGCGCUGGACGGUGGCUGGAGCAUUGCGCACCCCAAAAGGCAUACCAGUGUACGAAUACAAACCACUAGGUGUUAUAAAUGCUGCAAUCUCCCUAGCUCUAGGGGUCAAAGGGACCUACCAAUAACCUUUUAAUAGGUCAAAUUUUCUGACAAAUUUAGCAGACCCAACCUGAUCCACGCAAUCUUCCAUGCGGGAGAGUGGAAAAGAAUCAGGUUUGGUUAUUUUAUUCACCUUACACAGAUCUGCACAUGGUCUAAAGGUACCAUCAGGUUUAUUCACAAGAAGGUAUGGUGAUGACCAGCUCGAAGAACAAGGCUCUGCAAUGCCAUUUUCCAACAUGUAUUUAACUUCUCCCUCUAGGUAUUCACACUCGUUUGGAGAAAUGCGAUAAAAACGCUGUCUGAUUGGCUGAGAGUCACCUACAUCAAUGUCGUGCUCAAUCAGAUGAGUACGAGAUGGAGUCAAUCAAUCAAUCAAUCAAAUUUUAUUUAUAUAGCGCCAAUUCACAACAGUCGUCAUCUCAAGACGCUUUUCAAGGAACAAGAGCAGGUCUAGACCACGCUCAUUGUUUGAUGAUAAAGAACCAACCUAAGAUGGGUUUUGGCCCAUCUCAACUAACAUGAGUAGCAAUGGCAAGGAAAAACUUCCUUUUCACAGGCAGAAACCUUGGGCAGGACCAGCCUCAUGUUAGACAGUCACCAUGCCGCUGCUGGGGUUGGGGAGGAAUGUAGAGAGAAGAGGGGAGAGGGGAGAGGACAGGGGGAGAGAGAGAGAGAGAACAAGAUAAGGGAAGGCGAGAGAGAAUGGAGUGUCUCCAAACAGACAGGGAUAGCUUUGGAUUAGCUCCAUCAAGUCUUUUUUCUUUGCGGGGGAUAAGUGUUUUAACAUCUCAUCAAGAUUAGCAAGUGACUCUGAAUUCUUGAGACGACCUCUCAAAAUUCCAUCAUCUGGACUUUCCAAUCCCUCCUCACUCUCUGCUACUGGACCUAGAGGAGGAGGAGAGAGAUCUGCUGCAGCCACAGCAGCCACAGAGGAAAGGGACUGUUCCAAAACAGUAGGACGAGCAUAAUAUGGCUUCAGCAAGUUAAUGUGACACAACUGCUUAGACCUCGUCCUGUCAGGAGUUGAGAUUAAAUAGUUAAAAUCAGACACUUUACGGGCAACUGUAUACAGGCCUGAGAACUUAGCUUGAAAAGGAGAACAAGCCACAGGCAAAAGAGCAAGAACUUGAUCUCCAGGGCUAAACUCUCUGCUCUCACUAGGACAAACAUAAAGUAUCUUCAUUUUAGUCUGAGCCGAACUGAGCUUUUCCCUUGCCAACUUAUUUGCCCGAUACAGCCGUUGUCUGAAACCUUUCACAUAAUCUACUAAGUUUUUAGGGGCUUCUUCGAUCUUCCAGUCACUCUGUAAGGAGGCUAAUGGGCCUUGUACCGUGUCACCAAAAACCAGGUCAUUAGGUCUAAAACCUAAACUCUCCUGAGAAACCUCCCUAGCAGCUAACAACAACCAGGGUAACCCUUCCUGCCAGUCACGGUCUAACUCUGUGCAAUAGGCACGAAGAAGAGACUUGAGGGUUUGAUAAAACCUCUCCAGAGCUCCUUGACUCUGGGGAUGGUAAGCAGUCGACUGGGAGUGUUUGUUUAGCACCUUUGUAAACAUUUUUGAGCAGAAAUUAGAACCUUGAUCAGACUGUAUCACUUUUUGGGACACCAAAGAUGGAAAUAAAUUGUGUCAAAGCCUUUACAACUGACUUGGUUGUAAUAUUUCUGAGUGGGUAGGCAGCUGGAUAGCGGGUAGCCUGACACAUUACUGUAAGCAAAAAUUGGCUACCAGCUUUGGAACGUGGCAAGGGGCCAACACAAUCAAUGAGAAGGUGCUCAAAUGGCUGAUCAACAGCAGGAAUUUGAAUUUGGCCCCACUUUAUGGUUUGGUUGGGCUUCCCAGUCAGCUGGCAUAUGUGACAUGUUUUAACAAAGGCAGAAACAUCCCUCUUUACCUUAGGCCAGUAGAAAUGUUUCAAAAUCCUUUCAUAGGUUUUCUUUACUCCGAAAUGACCUGCUACUCCAUCAUGAGCAACCUUCAGCACAGUCUGUCAUACCGAAGCAGGUACCACAACUUGCAACACUUCCUGACCCAAAAAACAGUCCCCCUGAGGAACCCGCUUUCUCACCAACAAGCCAUCCUGGAGAAAGUAACCAUGGGCGGCACUCUCCACGUCAUCUUCUGGGAGCACUUGACUAUAAAGAGUCUGAAGUGUUGAAUCCCUUCUUUGCUCUUUCGCCAACUCACUGGAAGAAAUAGGCAAAGGGAAAACAGGCAGUGGAAAUACAGACACACUUUCCUUAUCGGGUUUGUCAUGGCCAGAACCACCUGCAUGGCACAUAGCACGUGUCGCUACACAGGUAGGAAGUGCCCUUAUAGAAGAGAUCGGAGACUCCAAAACCUCACCCUGGGUGAGAGAAACCACCUGAGCAGGAGAAUCAGGCCACACCUGAGCACCAGCUAAAUCAUUGCCAAGAAUGACAUGUAUCCCUGCCAUGGGUAAAGCAGGGCGUACUGCCAUUACUACCUCCCCCUUCACAAGGUCUGAGAAUAAAGUCAAUCUAUGCUGUUGAGAGGAAAAAACUGUCAGACCCAUGCUCAGCUAUCUGCAAAAGCUGUUCCUUUUUAUACGUGUUAAGCAACCCUUCACUAGGAGACAGAACAAAAUUCUCAAUUAUUUGUUAUCUAUUAUUUAUGGGCAGUACAUAUAUUAACCUGUGCUCUCAUAAAGCCUAACACACCAGAGAAGACAAGGCACAAAACAAAGUUUCUCACACUGCUAAUGAGAUGUAAGGCUGUUUAAACAUGGGACCAUAUUCCUCUAACUAACUGCCUAACCAGUACUAGCUGUCUCACUCACCCCUAGUCUUCAUGCAGGUUAGCGGCGGGAUAGAUUAAGCACCAAGCCCAGUAACCCGGUUGACUCUAAGAAAGCUAGCAGCCACCUAGACAGUUAUGGAGUGCCCCCGAGCAUCAGCUCUAACCACUUUGCUGCACGAAAAUAACAAACUAAAACAAAAAAAGGGUCAAUGUGGGCAUCUGGUGUCCCUCAUUGCUAAAACCUGACAGGAAUAUGGGUUUCCAAAUGACGACACAGCCUUCCCCCACCAGCAUAUUAGAAACAAACACCAACAGGCCAUCAAACUACAAAAAGGACUAGGUCAGUAAUUGUGUGAAACACCUCCCUUUCAAACUUAACCUGGUUUCUCAGCCCUAACUUCUCCUGGGAAAUAAAACCAGGAUCCUGGACGAGCCCCCAUUUGUUACUGCCUGGCUGAAGGCAGAUAACAAGAAGGGAGGCAACACUCAACAAUAACUAUUAACCAAGAUAUUUUAUUUAACAAAGAUGAUUAUCAAUCAGUAUGAGGCGUCAGGAUUAAGAUCAGUAGUGUCAGCAAGUGUUGGAUGUGUGAGCAUGUGUGUGGUGGAUGUUGUAAGAUGAACAAACCAAAAAUGGUGGUGGCUGGUGUGGUAGAUGCAGGCCCUGCUGUGAGAGAGAGCUAAAGCUUUUCAGCCAGGCCUUUUUUGCUUUCUGGCCCUGCCCUGCUGGGCAGGUAAUUCAGCCCCUCCCAGCUCCACCCUCCACCAUCUCCCUGAGGCUGCAACACAGAGCAGAAUCAGACACAUGCAAGGGGAGAAAGCAGAGGAGGAGCGGGAGGGGUUUGACACAAUACACAGAAUAAGCCUCAAUAUCAGGAAGUUAUGACACACACACACACACACACACACAAACCCUAAGCUGUAGGAACAGAUCUGACAGCAGCUUCAUGUAAAUGUUAAAAAGAUAAAUGUUUUUAUAAAAUAAAACCAGUUCAGAUUUCUAUAUGACCCUGUACAAAACCAAAUUUCAUUGAGGUUGGGAAAUAUGGAGGACUAAAAGUGCCAAAAUUCAAUAAAUAAAAACAUCAAUAAAUAAAUACUUAUAUGUACUAUUAAACAAUUAAAAGUGUCAAUAAAUGCAUAAAUGUAUCAUUAAAAGUGUCGAUAAAUAAAAGUGUCAAUAAAUAGAUAAAAGCAUCAAUAAAUAAUUAAAAGUGUCAAUAAAUAAUUUAAAUACAGUUUCAUGAAAGACAUAUUUAUUUCACGAAAGACAUAUUUAUUUCAUGGUCCGUGUUGCGUGCAUCAUGAAAUAAUUUUAUCUGUCAAACUUACUCGUCAAAGUCAGUGGGCGGGGCUAACGCGAAUCCAGUCUGAUCUGUUGCUUUGGUCUGGUCUGAAGUAGCUGGGAGAGCGACAUGGAGGAACUCCAGGGACUCUCGAGGGAGUUGGAGAGAGGUCUUUUACAGCUAGCAGAGGGAAUGGAAGCGGGACAUGCCGACCCAGAGCAUGUGGAAGAUAAAAUUGAAGAAUUUAUCGAGGCUGUUGGACUAAUUUCUGCACUUGCCAACCAGGACAUGGACAACAGGGUGACAGCAAACUUAAAGGAAGAACUUCACCGUUUCUCUCCGAGGGCGCAACAGGCAGCACGAAUACAGGGACCGGGGCGUUGGGCAUUUGACAUACCAAUUGCAGUUCUUGAGCACCAUGUUCUUUGUGGAUUGCCUGUUUAGUGUGUCAAAGAGGACCAUUAGGAGGCGCAUGGAACAAUACGGCUUAAGGUAUUGACACUAAAUCCAUUACUCGUCAGUUUAUGAAUUGCUUAAUAGACCUUUUGGUAGGCUCCGCCCACCAUCCUCUCCCCCAUAGUUACAGUUGCUAUGCAGGGACAAGCUUUGCACAACCGGCGUUCAAAACAAUGGCGGCGCCCCUACUUUGCACAUGAAAAUGAAGGCUAUACCUGAUGUUUUAAUUAAUGAAUUUUUGAGAAAAAGCUCAAAUAUCUCACAGAAAUCGUACCAACAAGGCCUGCAAUAUGCAGUGGAAGAAUAUGUGCACAAUACUCAGGUUUCUAUGAACAAAAUAGAAGCCAAAGUGUAUCGCUCUCAAAGAAAGAAUGAGAAACCACAUCUCCUGGUUAUUUCCUAUGUCUGCGACAGUAUCACCGGACAGGAGUGUUCGUGUAUCGUAGGGUAAGUUCUACACAACUUUUAAGUACCUAGUUACUAGAUAAACAUAAUGAGGAAAUGAUUUAACUAGUGGUAUACUGCUCUGUGAUUACGUGGUGAUGUGUUGAACUUUACCAAGUGACCCAUACUUUCUGCUUUCCUACUUCAGUUGACGUUUGAGAAAUGAAUAUCUCAACAUUGGUCUACAUUAUGCUUCAUAGUAGCUAAUCUGCCUGAUUUGUAAAUACUUUCUAUGUGCUAUCAUUUGUCAUUUGCAUAGCAACUGUAACUAUGGGGGAGAGGGGGGUGGGCGGAGCCUACCGAAAGGUCUAUUGUCUCUGUGUCGUUUAAAACAACUUUUUCCCCCUAUGGUGUAGAAAAACAGACCUCUAUUCAACCAUCAAUUAUGAGGAGUUAGACCGCAUCGUAACUGAGCUUCACAGAAGACAUCCAAACACCGGCUACAAGCUCAUGCAAGGUCAUCUGGCUGCAAGAGGUGUGCGUGUUCCAGGUGAGUCUGUUACUAUGGUCAUUAUUUCAUUUAAUUUGCAAUGCAGAGCCAAUUGCAGAACAGACCUGACCCAUGAUUUUCAGGCUAAUAUUUAAUAGAGGUGUACAAUAUCUAGCUGGAUGCGCCCAGCGCCCCCCUUUUCCCCCAAUGCUGUAAGAGGUAUAUUAUGAUCAGGCUGAAAAUCACAGGCCAUGUUUGUCAUGGCAUACAGUCAGCAGUGUAAACCUGUGGCAUGCAGGAGCAGCUUGCUUUUGUCUAGUAACAGAGUGACAAUAUCUGACAGUUCAGCACAAUUUUGAGACUGGUGGUUCAUAUAGUGACAACUCCACAUCCUGUCUUGUAUUAGACAAGUGAAUGAGUAUUUUUGUUACAGUACUGGUCAAGUAGGGUGAAUAGUUGUUUUUAACGAAGUUGCCAAUGAGUGUAUAGUUAUUAUUCAUUUGAUUUCCCUUCCCUCAGUAUCAAGACUGCAACAGUCUUUACGCAGAGUCAAUGCAGAGGGAGUCUACAUGAGACGUCUAAGACUUCAUGUAUUGAAACGACGGCAGUAUUCUGUUCCUGGCCCAAACUCUUUGUGGCAUAUAGAUGGCAAUCAUAAGCUCAUCAGAUCAGUGAUCUUAGCAGAUUAACAAUACAUCUUUUCUCAGAUGUGCCAUUACUAUUGUUUUACAACAAAGUUGUGCUUUUUCAUGUGUUCAUGAUUGCUUGACAGAUGGAGAUUUGUUGUCCAUGGUGGGGUGGAUGGAUUCAGCCAUUUGGUGGUCUACCUAACUGUGGCAGGAAAUAAUAGAGCUUAUACAGUCCUUCAGAGCUUUAUUGCUGCAGUUGAGCAGUAUGGGCUGCCAUCAAGGGUACAGUCUGAUAAAGGGGUUGAGAAUGCAGAUGUAGCAGAAUUCAUGAUCAGGAGCAGAGGGACUGACAGGAAUUCACACAUCACAGGGAGAAGCGUCCAUAAUCAGUGGUAAAUAUAUGUUUGGUAGCUAUGCUCAGACGACAACCACAGCAGUUGAGUGUACAUCAUUGGCAUAGAUCUAACGUACAUUAAUACUGUCAAUUUUAUUCUUAAUACAGAAUAAAGUGGAUGUGGAUGGAUGUUUAUGAACAUGCCCUUGACCUCUUCUAUCAAAUUUUCACUUCAUAGGAAGAUCAGGGAACAUUGGAUCCAGACAAUGAAGUCCAUCUUCUUGCACUACACCGGAGCUUUCUCCCACUAAUUCAAAAAAGACUUGACUCUUUUAAAGAUGCUUGGAACUUUCAUGGUCUUAGAACUGAAAGGAAUCACUCACAACAGCAAGUCUGGAGAAGAUACAGAGAGCAAGGGCCCACGGAGGUUCCCAUUGAGGUUGGAGAAAAAUCAACUUAAAACACUUUUGUCUGUUUCCCAAAAAGUAUGGAGGAUUGUAUUUACUUCAUGUGUUACACUAUAGUGUCUACAGUCACCAAAUUAGCCAUUAAACCAUAAUUGUUGCCAUGCAUAAUAUACACAAUCAUUAUUUUUCUCAAAGGAAUAGGCAACAUUUGAUUUCUCAAUGACUUGGUUACCAAACAUAAUCUUAGAAACCAUGUGUAAUGAAAUGUCAGACUCGUUUUUAACCACAAGAUUGAUCAUGCUUGUCCUCCAUUCAGGUUUAUGAAGACUAUGGGAUCGACUGGAAUGGACCUCACAGUCUUCAUAGAGGCACUGUGUCAGUCCCCGAGAUUCAGCUGGCCCGAGAGCUCACAGACGAAGAGGUCCCCACUUUGCCAGCUCCAGGAUUGUCUGUCACUGGUGCAGUUAGAUCAUAUUUAGACACUGUGCAGGUUUUAACAAGAAUAACAGCAAACUGAUGUCCAACCCAUGCUUUUAUUUUGCCUCACAGACCAAGCAAAACUAAACUGGAAAAACUUCCUUUCCUCAGAUUUAAAAAAACAAAACAAAAACAAAACAACCAUAGUCACCACUGUGAUCUUUUAGAUGGACUUAUUCUACAUCUCAUUCUCCACAUAAUGGAUAACAAUGCUGUAAAAUUUUAAAUUGCAGAACUGUUUGUUUCUCAAAAAUGUAUGAUGAAUGAAUGAAACCUGAAUAAAACAAUGGUCAAGAACUGCGUCAGUUUAGGGUUUUAAUGAACUGCAUGCAAUGACCCAUCUGAAAAAAAAAUUUAAAUUACACAAGUCCAAAUCCACUCUGUGCACUAUUUAUGGCUGUGAAAAGUGCUUCCUCAAACUCCUCGUAGGUUUUGAAAUGAGCUGGCAGCUUCAGUGUUUUAAAGCAUGUAGAGGACGUAGGAAGACUUCCUCCAGAGAUCUCCACUCUGAGCUCAGGAGGAAGCAUCUCCCAGCCAACCCAGAAUUUCAGUAGCUUGACCAGAUACCUGAUGAGGCUAAAAGUCAUAAAACAGAUCGAAGACAACACUUAGUUUGACUCCAAUUGGUCAUCUCUAUCCAUGAAACAUUUAAAAAGAGAGCAAUACAAGAACAUUAGCAAAAUAAACGGUUUCAUACCUGUUUCAAUGAACAUCCUCGGAAAGCCAGUGAUGCGGCAUGUAGACUCUACGUCAAAGUCCUCAUCAUCACUGUCCUCAACUGGCCAUGUGAUUUUUUGCAGGAGCAUCUUUAGAAACAAAAAAAGAGAAAACAACUGGGCAUAUUUGAACUUACUUUGUUAAAGGAAUAUUCAGAUCACAUUUUUGGUAAUUGGAAAAAUAUAACAGCUCAGUCAUUGAAAAUACACAAAUUCAUACAGUGAAGUUAAAAAAAACCUGAAAUCCUGCCUUACCUGAGGUGUGAACUGCAAAUCAGCCAUUUCGGGGAAAAGAGGUGGGACUACAUCUGGUCUAGAUGUCAGAAGUGGCCAUACCAUCACAUCUUUCAGCCCCUUUCUCAACUGUUUAAUUUGGCGCAUGGUUCUCCCAAUGACCUAAAGAGACGGACCCAACAAAUAUUACAGCUGAAAUCCUCAACCUAAAUUUCAACACUCAACAGGCGUGAGAAAUGCUGUGGUUAAACUAUAAAUACCAUUCUACUUACAUAAGCUAUGCAUUAAAUGGUGGUUGUGAAAAACUUAAACAUGACAAUGGCCAAAGCAUGAAUUACACAACUAAAACCUUACCAUUUUAUCCCUGCCAGCAUUAGCUAUGAAUUGUGCCAGUUAAGUUAACCAGCAGGUUAUGUAGCCAUCUCCAAUUUGUUUUGGUGACUGCCGGGAGAUCCCAAGAUAAUGCAAGAUCUGAAACUGUCUCCUUCUGUUCUGGUGUAAGUUCUUCAUGUUCAAGCUUGAAUGCAGACCAUACAGGUUAUUACAUUUGCCCAAAUAUUUUUUGCAAGAGAAUGGUUUUUGUGUUACAUACCAGUUUUAUGAUACUCCUGAUAUGCAGAUCAGGGCAGUCUUCUGUAACGACAGUUGCCGUUUCAGGAUCCCCAUUGCACAGUACAUGAAUGACAGCAGGACUUAAACCUGCGACAUGGAGACCGUCAUGUAGAAAACUGUGGGCCAGCAUCCUUCCUGCCACCUGGAAAAGGUUGCUUUCAAUAAGCACCUUUGAUGCCGCUGGAACAAGAUGAUCAGGUUCACCCUCAAAUAGCAGUGUUCGGCCCAUUCCUCCUGUAAGUACCAAGGGUGAUAAAGGCAUAACAAUUAACCAUCUGAAACAUUUUUUAAAUUAAAUUGAAUUAACCUUCGAAAUUUUAAGGGACUUACCAAGAUCUAGACUGAACCCAAACUGGAGUUUGCAUAUUACUGUUGUCAUAAAGUACCGCAUCACUCCCUCUCCGACAGCAACAUCACCUGAAAUAAAACACUGAUAAUAAAUAACACUGGGAAAAUCAUGGCUGACUAAUGCAGACUCGAUUAGGUAAAAUUUAAGCAAGGAAAAAAAUAGUCAAUAUUCUAUUGCUGCCAUUCUACAACAGCAUCCUAAAGAAUAUUGUGCAUGGAAGAUUUUUUUGUCAAAUAUAUCAUUUUUUUCAAUCUCACUUUCCAUUUGACAAUUUCAUAUAAUACACCUGAGUGGUAUAAACCUUUCUGAUACAUUUAUAUGCCUUACCAACAAGGGUACAAUGAAGUGGGCAUGCCUAUUCUUGCUGCCAUUUAAAGAAGGAGAGAAGUUCCCAUUCCCUUUCUUCUUCAGAGUCCCUUACAUCCAUUCUCAUUUUAAGUGGUUUCCCAGAUGCAUGUUCCCGAAGUAAAUUCUCUUUAAAAACUUUGGAAGCUUGAGCUGGUUCUUUAAUCAGCUUCCAUUCUAAAUCAACAAUAAAAAGGAAAAAAUUAUCUCUUCCACAGAAAUGUUGUGAGCUGGCAUGUUACCUGUCAAAACAAUAUUCUCCUUCAGGGUAUAAAAAGGGAGAAAAGUUCUGUCCAUUUCACUGACUAUGCGACCCCCAACAUCUUCAGAAUCUGUCACAAAGCUGAAGUGACAUAAAAACAGCAAAAGACCAUUCUAAACAGAUACUUAACAUUUUAACAUAAAGGGCUCUAUUUUCGUGCGCGCCGGUGAGGCGACGGAGGGUGGCGGACCCCGCGCAGUUGUAUUUUUCGUCUGGCGGAGCCCGGCGUAAAGCCAAUUUGGUAUUUUCGUGGACUGAGGCGCUCUGAGGCAAACCGAGAUCCGCCAAGCUGGGCGUGGUGGCGUGGCAGGGGGAGGUGUCGACAGAAUCAGCGGGCGCAGUGACAUUUUCGUGCUCGCCAAUGGUGUGUAGAGUGCGCUGAAAGCUCGUCGAUUCAAACCUGGUCAGCUUUCAGCGCAGGUGGAGCGCAGCUGGUCUAGUAGUAUUUUGGUAGACCGGCGGCGUAUCGGCAUACGUCACUGAUGCCUCAUCGGCAGGUUUCCAUAGUGUCAGGCACAUUUCAGUGCAAUAAAUAAUCAUCAACAACUAAUAAUCUGAGUCAGCACAUACAUUUAGAUCUAUAUAGAUAUAUUCUGAUCUAUAUCUGAUCUGAUGAGCGCGUUUGGCACACAUUUGGACACACAACCUGACCGAAUCAACACAGCUGAAAUCGCAUCAAAUUAAAUUAAAUAUCUAGUAAAUCGACACACAUGAUGAAGUUAACAAGAUAUGUAAUUCGUCUCCCUCCUUUUCUUUCUUCCUCUUCCUCUUAUUUCUCGCACAGCUCGACCUGGACACGUCUCUGUGUCCUCUCUCCGUCCUGCUGCUGCUGUGGCUGAACAAAUGAUUUGUUUCAGUGCUCAGAUGAGUUAUCUACUUUAAGCCGACAUACGGAUAUUAUAAUAUUCAGUUUUGUGGGCCAAAUUUAUUUUAUAUACCAACAUCUAUGAAAGAAAGAGCCAGACCACAGAGCGUGAUGCAUCAUUUACGCACAGAUGGUUCAAAUUUUAAUGCCAUUUUUGGAGAUUAUGUUGUGAUCUGUGCGCUCAACCCACCUUUGUCACGUGAGGUUUGAAUAUAUGCAACUUUAUGUGAGUGUCUUUAAUUGUGGAAAAGGAUGUUUGUCUUACCAGUGGGUCCAACAUUACACACACCAAAUCCAUCUGUGCUCAUAUGAGAGAGUCUGGAGGACGCCCAAUGCAGCACUUACAGUGACACUUGUUAAGGAGCUGCCCUCUGUCGCCAUCUUGUGGCAUUACUGUCUUCAGACAUCUCUUGAUCUCUUUGACUACUUCAUGAAAAUAGUAAUAUGCCUCACCUGUGGCGGACUUAAAGGCAAGGAGAGGAGCUGAUGUGAUUGGUGAAAACGGGUCUCGGCUGUGUUAAAUUCACUCCACGCCCUUUCUCCUCCCUCGCUACGACUUACGCCGCUGGGAGGAGCUGAGUUAAGGACCUUGUUCGCUUUCUGAUUCCUGCAUGUGUCUCCUUGAAGUUAACAAAAUCAAAAUGAUCAUCAUACUCACCUAUAUGUGUGCGCAACACUCUAAGAGAGACUUACAUUUCCUUAGGAAGUACUUGCCCAAUGCAGCUCAAUCUGUGUUCCCUCAUCUCAGAUAAGGAAACUUCCCUUUGACAUGUGAUGCAGGGGAUGAUUGGACCGGGACUGGAGCGCUCCUAAAUAAAGCAAAUGGCUUUUUAGUGAUAAAAAAUUAUCAGUUAGCUUCAUUUUGUUGAGUGUCUGCUUAUUUAUGUACACAAUUUAAGGGAAGAUCCUGUUGAAGUGGACUUAUGUAGAUUGUAACCUGUCCAAUCAUCAUUGAUGGAUCUUUUAGAUAUGCAAGGGUGUAUCCAGUGCUGGGACACUGAAGUAAUCGAGGUUUCGGCUGCGAGUAGAUCCCACAAUUCUGAGAAGUUCAAAGCCUCCCCCUUCUUAGAGCUUUGGAAAUACUUCCAUCAAUUUAUUUGUUUUAACUUUGGGAUCAUCAUCAUCCCCUGGGGAAAAUAAAGAAGUUACAACCAUAGUUAUUAGUACUACAAAAAACCUGCAAAUAAAUGUAGUGAGCCACAGACAAUAAAGUUUUUUUUUGUUGUUGUUUUGGUAAAUUCUUAAUUUCCCACAAACCUGAAAAUGUCACCCUUGCCUCGCCAAGUCCUGCACCCUGAAGGUCUGCUUUCAGUGGCAUACUCAAAGGUCAAAGGUCAAAGGUUUCUUUAUUUAUACCUUGCGGUAAAUUUUGUUUGCAGGCAGGAACCCAGCCGUCCAGAUAAGACACACAUAAAAACAACAAUACAACAGUCAAGUACAAGAAAAAAAAUGCCAAUCGUUAAGAGCCAUAAAAUCACAUAAAAUCUCUCCAGAUCCGAAGGUUCAAUAAGACUCCCUCAUCUAUUAGCCCUGCCAUUGAGCUUUGCAAUAGCUGCUGGGACAAAGGUGGUUCUGUAACGCUUGGUCCUGGCCUUGGGGACCAAGAAGCGACAGCCGGAGGGAAGGAGCUGGAACUCGCUAUGCAGAGGGUGCAAGCUGUCCAAAGCAAUAGCGCUGGCUUUACGCUGCAGCUGGGCCUCAUAUAGAGCUGUCAUGGAGAGUUGAGGCUCCCCAAUUAGCCUUCCAGCCCAUUUAACAAUCUGGCCCAGAGCAUACUUGGCACUUUAUCCGCCUUGCUGUCAGCUAGACAAAAGACUGUGUGUGUGUAGUUUGUUCUGUUGUUCUGGUUCGGUGCUGGUCGUCGUCUCAUUACUCUUCUGGAGACACUAUUAUAAGGAGCAAAGAGCCUUGCUACCUCGGCUGCAACACAAAAUAACACGACAAAAUCUUCGAUUCAACUUGCGAACUGUUAUCCAGUUGACCACACACCUGUGUCUCGAGCCAUUGAUUAGUAGAACACCUGGCUAGUGAAAUUAUGGGAAAUUACUAAGCUAACCUUCGACAGGUGUACGAGAUUGAGGAGGAGCUGGGGUCCGCUGUGGAUGCUGUGUCGGCGCUGCCAGAGGCGUCUGAGCUGCGGGAGCUGCCGGAGCCGAAGGUGUUCUUCUGAGGGCUUCUUCAAUUAAAUUUGCAGCUUCUCUGAGCAGUUCCGGGCAUGUUUUAUCCAUUGAAGAGCCUAUCGCUGGCUUACUAUGGGGGUAAUACUUUUUGGUUGCAGAAAGUGCGGAAAUUGGUUUAAUCAAGUAUUAGCGGGCUUAUCCAACGUAGAGGUGAAUAGCGGCACAGAGUGUAUAGGAGUGUGUUCACAAGCUCUGCCUCGAUCCAUUAUCUGGCAUCGCUAUGCCUGGACUGGAUGUGCAGGGUAACCAAUCAGGAGUUAGAUCUCCGCCCACUGACUUUGAUGAGUGAGUUUGACACAUAAAAUUAUUUCAUGAUGCACGCGACACGGACCAUGAAAUAAAUAUAUGUCUUUCAUGAAAUAGUAUUUUAAUUAUUUAUUGAUGCUUUAAUUUAUUUAUUGACACUUUUAUUUAUUUAUUGACACUUUUAAUAAUACAUUUAUUUAUUGAUACUUUUAUUUAUUUAUUAAUGCUUUUAUUUAUUUAUUGACACUUUUAAUGCUAGAUUUAUUUAUUUAUUGACACUUUUUAUUAUUCAAUGGUACAUUUAAGUAUUUAUUUAUCAAUGUAUUUAUUUAUUUAAUUUUGGCACUUUUAGUCCUACAUAGGGAAAUUGUGAUAAACGUAAAUAAAAACAGAAUACAAUGAUUUGCAAAUCCUUUUCAACCUAUAUUCAAUUGAAUACACUACAAAGACAAGAUAUUUAAUGUUCAAACUCAUAAACUUUUUUUUUUUUGCAAAUAAUAAUUAACUCAAAAUUUCAUGGCUGCAACACGUGCCAAAGUAGUUGGGACAGGGGCAUGUUUACCACUGUCUUACGUCACCUUUCCUUUUAACAACACUCAAACAUUUGGGAGCUGAGGAGACUAAUUGUUGAAGCUUUGACGUUGAAAUUCUUUCCCAUUCUUGCUUGAUGUACAGCUUCAGUUGUUCAAAAGUCCGGGGCCUCCGUUGUCGUAUUUUACGCUUCAUAAUGCGCCACACAUUUUCAAUGGGAAACAGGUCUGGACUGCAGGCAGGCCAGUCGAGUACCAGCACUCUUUUACUAUGAAGCCAUGCUGUUGUAACGUGCAGAAUGUGGCUUGGCAUUGUCUUGCUGAAAUAAGCGGGGGCGUCCAUGAAAAAGACAUUGCUUGGAUGGCAGCAUAUGUUGCUCCAAAAUCUGUAUGUACCUUUCAGCAUUAAUGUUGCCUUCACAGAUGUGUAAGUUACCCAUGCCUUGGGCACUAAUGCACCCCCAUACCAUCACAGAUGCUGGCUUUUAAACUUUGCGUUGAUAACAGUUUGGAUGGUACUUUUCCUCUUUGGCUCGAAAGACACGACGUCCACUAUUUCCAUAAACAAUUUGAAAUGUGGACUUGUCAGACCACAGAACACUUUUCCACUUUGCAUCAGUCCAUCUUAGAUGAGCUCGGCCCAGAGAAGCCGGCGGCGUUUCUGGAUGUUGUUGAUAAAUGGCUUUCGUUUUGCAUAGUAGAGUUUUAACUUGCACUUACAGAUGUAGUGACGAACUGUAUUUACUGACAAUGUUUUUCUGAAGUGUGCCUGAGCCCAUGUGGUCAUAUCCUUUACACAUUGAUGUUGGUUUUUGAUACAGUGAUACUGAGACCGUAGAUGUUGAAAUCCCUAAAUUCCUUGUAAUUUUACUUUGAGAAACGUUGUUCUUAAACUGUUUGACUAUUAGCUCAUGCAGUUGUUCACAAAGUGGUGAACCUCGCCCCAUCCUUGCUUGUGAAUGACUGAGAAUUUUUGGGGAAGUUGCUUUUAUACCCAUUCAUGACACCUACCUGUUCCCAAUUAACCUGCUUACCUGUGGGAUGUUCCAAAUAGGUGUUUGAUGAGCAUUCCUCAAAUUUCUCAGUAUUUUUUGCUACCUUUCCCAACUUCUUUGACAUGUGUUGCUGCCAUCAAAUUCUAAAGUUAAUGAUUAUUUGCAGAAAAAAGAGUUUAUGAGUUUGAACAUUAAAUAUCUUGUCUUUGUAGUGUACUCAAUUGAAUAUAGGUUGAAAAAGAUUUGCAAAUCAUUGUAUUCUGUUUUUAUUUACAUUUAUCACAAUUUCCCAAAUUCAGUGGAAUUGGGAAAUUGCACUCUUCACCUGUCUGUGUUGCGUCACCUGUGUUAAAGCUUUAGACUCCUCUGUCUCUGACAGUAUUUAAUCAGCGUUCGUACAAGCUGAGGUGUUUGAGAUUCAAAUGAUCUGUAGUUUGCAGCAGUUUAUGCUGCAGCGGUGUGCAGGGUGAUGGAGCUGUGGAUGUUUUUUUAAUGAGCUUUGAUUCUCUGACAGUAAACUCUGUAACUACCGGGAAUCUGAAUUAUUUACGUGCACCUCCACCUCCACCUCACCCUCCACCUCCACCCUGAACACUGCUCAUGCUGCUGCUUCGUGUGUGCAUAAAGGUUCCAGCAGCACAAACUACAUUACCCAGAGUUCACCCCAAUCUGUGAUGUCUGCAGCAAAGCUAGCAAUCCCACCACCACCACCACACACACACGCACACACACACACACCCUGUUAUAUAACCCAAACCCCUCAUGCAAAGGUGUGUGUGUGUGUGUGUGUGUGUGUGUGUGUGUGUGUGUGUGUGUGUGUGUGUGUGUGUGUGUGUGCGUAUGUGUGUGUGUGUGUGUGGGCAUUAACAGGCAGAGACAGAUUACACACACACACACACACACACACACACACACACACACACUCACAUACACACACAGUCAUACAAAGAGUGAAGGUUAAGGACUUGAAUAUGAUUUAGCUUUUUAGGAAAUAUCAAUAUUCAGAAUUGUUAUUAAUCUUAAAGUUUUUUUCUGGCUGAAACAAAAUCAAUAUGUUUUUUUUCCCUUUCAUGUUAUUAUAUAUAUUUUAUUAAUAUUUUUUUAUUACUUCAACAUGCUCAACAUAAAUAUAACUGAUCUGACAUCAUUGUUUAUGCAAAGACCAUAUGGAGGGAAUCUGUUUUAUACUCUGAAUAUUAGUGCACACAGCAGAUCUACAAGAGUCAUCUCUGCAGACAUACAACCAUGAGGAGCCGAUUCCAAACUACCUCAUGUCAAAAUGUGAAAAGAUGGAAUGCGGAUAUUUGGCAGCUGCUUUAGUUACAAGCUGUCGGGUAAAGAGAGAGAGAUGGACAUGAGACAGAGGAGCUGCUUCAGGGAUUUAUCUGACACCACCAACAUGGGGAGCAAACACACCUUCUAGAGCAACACCAUCUGACUGAGAGAUCACACCUGACAAUACAACAUGAUAUGAUAGGAGACCAGAGGCCUAUUCUACGAAGUAGGAUUACUGCUUAGCGAGGUAACUUCGAGGGUAAGUUCGGGGUUUCCUGUUCUAUGACGUGGGUUCACUUCUUAGUGAGGCAAGUCUCCAUGGCAACAUAUGCUAAACGGCUAACCUGCUUCGGGGCAGGUUAGGUUCCAGAUUGAACUCAGAGAAUAUAAAAACCCCUCCCACUGACCAAUGAGCUCUCUUGAAAAAUAGCUUGUCCAUUCUUGGAGGAUCCUAUAGACCUCAGUGCUCGCAUUGUCCGAGGAGCUCUCCGGCGCGCGAGAGUUUUCAGGGACUGCACGGACCCACUUACUUUUCCGGAUGACCACCUUUAUGAAAGGCUCAGAUGGCCUACACAUCACACAAAAAAAUGUAAACAUGAUAGGAAUGAACAAACGAAUGAAUUCAUCUUGGAAAUAAAUUAGACAUGUCUGGUGCAUGUUUAAUGCGCAUGUUGAACAGUGUUAUUUCAGGGUGAUAAUGGCAUCAAAGAUUUUUUGCGCACUAUAUUUACGCAUUGAGACUGUCAGCAAUUUUCUGCCAGCAAUUCUUCUGUGCUUUUGCAGCAGCGAUAGUGUUGCUUUCAAAGUUUAUGAUGGAUUUGAAUUCUUCAUACUUUCUCAUGAUUGUCUCCUGCUCCUCAUUUGUAAAGUACGCAGUCCUUCGCUCUCCGGCCUGCUCUGAUGCUCCAGACUGGUCCAUGUUCGCAAUUAGUCAGAUGCGGCGGGCUCCGCCUUACAUGCGUGCACACGCUCAUAGCAAAGCUGGAUCCACUUACGAGGUUGAUAACCAGUGUCGUAAGACCGUUUAGCAAGACCGCUGGCUACUGCGCUAAGUCGAGCGAGGUAGCUCCAAGGCUACCUCGCUCGGUUGAACUUGCUUCAUAGAAUGGGCCCCAGACAAGACAGGAUGAGACAAUACCAAACUUUACCAUAUACUACAAGACAGAACAAGAUGAGACGAUGUGACAUGAGACAUGAAAAGAUAAAACAUGAGUGGAGACAAUACAAAACAAGACGAGACCAGUUGAGACAGCACUACAUGAGAAGAGACAGGAUGAUACAAACCAAGAAGGGACAAGAUGAGAUGAUGCAAUAUGAUAUAAGACAAGACCAUAGGAUGAGAAAAGAUGAAGUGAUAAGACACAAGAUGAGACCAGAUUCUGCAAUACAACAGGAGAUAAGAUGAGAUGAGAUGAGUAGAGACAAUACACCAUGAGAUGUGACAUGACAAGGUUAUAUCACAGGAGAUGAGAUAAGAUGAUACGAUAAGACACAAUAAAAGAUGGGACAGUAUUCAUCGAUAUGAGAAUGGAUGAGAUGAGUGGGGAUGAGACAAGGUAUGAUGAGCAGAGACAAUGCAACAUAAGAUGUGACAUGACAAGGAGAGACUUGGUAAAAGGUCAAAGAGACUCUAACAGGCCAAAAAGACUCAUUAACAGGUCAGAGGGACUCAGUUACAAGUCAGAGAGACUCAGUCACAGUUCAGAGAGAAUCUGUACUAGGUCAAAGUGAAAGAAUCUGAAUAAAGGGAUUUACUGAUUGAUGUGGGGACGAUCCAGCUCAGGCCUGGGGCUCCACACCUGUUUUAAGAGAGUUGGUUUCUUUAUCCAGGUGAUCACUGAGGACUCUCUCUCUCUUUCUGUCUCUAUCAAUUUCAAAUUUUUCAAUAUUCAAGAAGUUUUAUUGGCAUGAUUGUUAUAACAAUAUUGCCAAAGCAUUACAAUACAACAACAACAAUGACGCUAAUAAUAAUAAUAAUAAUACGGAAAAUGGAACAAACAGAUAGUGUGAUUAUCAUGUUGCAGUUAAAAACUCUGGAGCAGCUUACUUUUUUAUGGCAUGUAUUCACAUGUUUGCUGCUUCUAAAGCAGUGGCCCUUUGUUGUCCUAAGAGAUGUCUAAACUUUUCCUGGUCUGUGAGUUGGGUGAAGUUGGUUGUUAUGUGCGUGAGUUUAGUGUAUGUGUGUGUCCUGAUGUGUGUGUAUGUGUCACAGUGUAGCAGGAAGAGCUGCUCUGUCUUCAGCUGUGUGUGAGGACAGAGCCAAAACAGCCGCUCCUCUCUGGGCAGCCAGGUUUGCAUGCGGCGGCCGCUCUCUAUGGCCAGGCUGUGGUUGCUGAGUCUGUUCACAGUCAGAGCGAGCAUGAACGAGAGAGCGAGCAUGAGCGAGAGAGCGAGCAUGAGCCAGUCCCUUCUCCUGGAAAAGAUUGAAGUGCUUCAUGAGGCAAAUAAAACAAUCACCAUACUCAAACUCACACUGUCCAAUGAGCUCAAAACAAAAUCUAAAUUACUCACAACCUGUAUGGAUGUGGCCCACCAGCAAUCCCUCCACCUGUUCUCCCCUCCAAGCAACCCUCCAAGACACGCUACCCUGGGAGCCUCACAGCCCGAGGACCUCGUCCCGACCGCCAUCUGCCACAGCACCCAACCAGGACUCAACAUGGACUGAAGUGACCACUCGAGGCAGGAAAACCACCAACACCAUCCCCUGGAACCCGGCCGGGCCUACCUCAAGCUCCACGCCGGGUUCCAGGCAAUCCACUGACCCGGGCCGAGGUCCUCACCAGCGGCAGGACAAAUCCUUCCAGAGAUGCCUCUACAGUCUGGUUGUCCCUCUCGAACCGCUUCGAGGCCCUUGAGCAUCCUCCUAAGCCUGCCAACACCAGCAUGAACCAGUCCCCUCUCGGCGGUAACGUGGUGUCCUCCACAGCGGCUGCCGGAGCUCCCAUGGCUCCUACACGGCCACCCGGCGGAGCCCCCGGGCCUUCGUCCUCGUCCUCCGGUGCCUUCGCGGCGUGCCGGCCCAAAGAUCGGGCGGCCUCCGCAUCUUCUGGCGACCAGGGAUUCCCGUGUGGCCUGGCACUGGCGGAGGGGACCCCUCUCCGUCGGUCUCCGGUUGCCCAGGGUGUCCCGGAACCCACCUUAACCACCGCUCUGAGACCCGGACCGCGUCCUCGGCCUCCCACAAGAGGUUUCUCCGAGAGGCAGUCCGCCGGAACUCCGCCGGGCCCGCCGCCGCCCCAGACCGAAAUGGCAGACCAUCCCUGCAGCCGCUGGCAUCCACUGCACCGCCAAGUCCUCGCAGCCUGGCCACCUGCCCUGCUUCGGAUACAGGAGCCAUGCAACUCCCGCCGUUGUUUCCCCCCACCACCUUGAUCAUCGGUGACAGGAUCGUACGAGGUAUUCGUUUUUUUAAUGCCAUCACUCGCUCUUUCCCCGGUGCAACUGUCGCUGACAUCACGGCAAAACUCCCCGGUCUUCUCCAGUCACUUCCUUCCUCUAUCCACCGUAUCAUUGUUCACGUCGGCAUCAACGACACGGCUCACCAACAGUCUGAACUGACAAAAAAUGACUUCAGAACACUUCUCGACAUCCUUCAGUGCAGCAACCCCACCUCACUGGACGAGGUGGUGGCGUCGCAGUCAUCCACAAACAAACCCUCAAGACCACCCCUGUCCCAACCCUGUCUGUUCACUCAUUUGAAAAUAUUUCUGUCAAAAUCCCCGGCCCCACCCUUCUGGUCAUUGUCACCAUCUACCACCCUCCAAAGCCCCACCCAUCAUUCCUCUCUGAUUUCUCUGACUUUGUCACCCACCUAAGCACCAUCUCAUCCUCUGUCCUGGUGCUUGGAGACUUCAAUUUCCACAUUGACAACCCCACCUGCAAACAAGCCACCGAUUUCCUAGAUCUGCUCGACACCCUCAACCUCACCCAGCACGUACACUCCCCCACCCACUCCCACUGCCACACCCCCAACCUCGUCUAUUCCACCAGCAUCUCCAUCCACCAUCUCUCCACCAUCAACCUCUAUAUAUCUGACCACCUGACUGUCACUUUCAACAUCCGCCUGCACCCUGAAUCCCAUCCCAUCCUCCAUCAUCAAACACUGCCUCCCCAUCAUCUCGCCCAUCAUCACACAGAUCAUUAACUCCUCCCUCAACUCCGCCACUGUUCCCCCUUCACUCAAACUGGCCGCUGUCACCCCCAUCCUCAAAAAACCUGGACUCAACCCAUCUCCAACCUCCCUUUCCUGUCAAAAAUCCUUGAACAUGUCAUUGCAUCACAAAUCAAAGCCCACCUCAAUAAUAACAACCUUUACGAACCGUUUCAAUCAGGAUUCCGCACCCACCACAACACCGUAACUGCCCUCAUCAAAGUCACCAACGACCUCCUCAUUUUAGCUGACUCUGGCCAACUCUCCAUCCUCAUCCUCCUUGACCUCUCCGCCGCUUUCAACACCAUUGACCACGCCAUCCUCCUGUCCGGCCUACACUCCCUCCUCAAUAUCACAGACACCGCUCUUAACUGGAUCCGUUCAUAUCUCACAGACCGGAAUCAUUUCAUCCACAUUAACAACUGCUCCUCCCAAGGUGUCCCCCAGGACUCGGUGCUUGGUCCCCUCCUCUUUAUCAUCUACCUCCUCCCUCUUGGCCACAUCCUUCGUCAACACAAUCUCCACUUCCACUGCUACGCUGAUGACAUUCAAUUAUACAUCUCUUCCACCUCCAUCACCCCCCAGACCCAACGCUCCCUCUCAAACUGCCUCUCUGAUAUCAAACACUGGAUGGACAGCAACCUUCUGAAACUCAAUUAUGACAAAGUCAAACCACAGUCACAGACUUUCAUCUCUCCAUUGACAACUCCACCCUCUACCCCUCCUCCCACUGUCGCAAUCUUGGUAUUCUCUUCAACAGCAAGCUCUCCUUCACCCAGCACGUAAAGCAAAUCACCGAAACAGCCUACUACCACCUCAAAAACAUUGCCCGCCUCCGCCCCUCCCUCUCCUACCCUGCAGCUGAAACCCUCAUACAUGCAUUCAUUUCAUCCUGUCUAGAUUACUGUAACAGUCUCCUCCAUGGCACUACCUCCACUCUCCUCAAUAAACUUCAGCUCAUCCAGAACUCUGCCGCCCGCCUCCUCACCCAUACACGCUCCCACCAACACAUCACCCCCGUCCUCCAGAACCUUCACUGGCUCCCCAUCCCCCAUUGCAUACAGUACAAAAUCCUCCUUCUCACCCACAAAGCACGACACAACCUGCCCCCCCCACCUACAAGAUCUUCUCCACCCCUACCCCCCCCCCCCCCCCGCACCCUCCGCUCCGCCAAUGCCAACCUCCUCACAGUUCCCCUGACCAAGCACCGAACCUGGGGGGACAGAGCCUUCUCAGUCGCCACCCCCACCCUCUGGAACUCACUCCCAUUGGACCUCAGAAACUGCACAGACCUCAACAGAUUCAAGACCCUUCUCAAAACCCACCUCUUCCGCACUGCCUUUCAUCCUCCAUAGUCCCCCCCCCCUUGGAUUUUACAUGAUUUUACAUGAUUUUAUUGAUAUUGAUGUAUAUUUUAUUGUAUAUUGAUGUAUGUUUUAUUAUAUAUUGAUGUGUGUUUUAUUGUUCUUGCUUUUACUCAUGUACAGCGUCCUUGUGUUCUUGAAAAGCGCUUUACAAAUAAAAUGUAUUAUUAUUAUUAAGGUUCUCCUCAGUCUGGGGUCAGUUACUGAACUCGGGUAAUCUGCCAUGGAGUAUUGUCUGUUUAGGGCCAGAUAGCAUUGAAGUUUGCUUUGGGUUUGGAUUGUAGAUGUCCAACAGUUGAUGUUGUUAUCUUUUGUUUUUGUAUAAUUCGGUUGGGGGGCCGGAUUGUGUGAGGGCGGUCUUGGUGCUCAGUGCUGAUGGAGCUGCGCUUGUGGACCAGCUGGCUGAGGGGACUCCUGUCUCUGCUCCCCUCUUGGAUCUGCAGGGUCACUGGCUUUGAGGUGUUGGUAGAAUUCGAUUGCCCUUAUUUGGAUCCAGAUUAAAAGGGGAAAUUGGCCUAAUUCAGCUCUGGAUCCGUUAUUGGGGGUUUUACUGUGGACCCUGAGAAUGCUUCUACAAAUCUCUGUGUGCAGACUUUUGAUUGGGUGUUUGUCCCAUUUCUGGCGGCGCCGUGUGGAGUCCAGCUACUCUAACAGACGACUCUAACGGAUUGACCCCAGAUACCCAGAGCAUCUACCUGGCUACAACGGUUACAACGAUCGACCAAUACACAGCAGAUCAAAUAAAAUACCCCCGGUCACAUCGAUCACGGCUGGAACGCCGAAAGAGAGACUUACCUGAGAUUUCCACCAUCAGCGGGCCCUCUUCCGGGGCCCUCGCCGGUAAGUCUCCUACCGUGUUGUCUGAUCUGCUUCCUCACCGCUGCGGGCUCCAGGACGGAGCCCUGGCGUGUAAGUGUCCUUCUCGGCACAGUCCAAUCCCCGAUCCAGACUGUCCUCUAUUAGAUCCUGCCUGGUGUCGUUGGCUGUCUGCUGGUUGUUGUUUUUAUCCAUUUCAGCCAUGGCUCCACACUCCUCUCCGCCCGGCUGUGCCAGCUGCGCCUGUCUGGCGGAAAAGAUCCAGAAGCUGGAACAAAGGAUCUCCACACUCUACCAGAUCCAGGAAGCCGAGAAACUCAUGGACACCAUCGUCUUCAGAACAUCACAUCCCGACUCCACCGGCUCGUCGGAUCCGGACCCCGCCGCUCCCAACACCUCUCCCCCGGCUGCUGCGACCACCUCUCCUCUGCCUGCUCAUCCAUCCUUCUUCCCCGAGGUCUCCUCGACAAGGCUGGGAGCAAAACCCAAGGCUAAUCCAGAGCCUCCAGCUAGCUCCACUCCAUCCCUGCAGGAGCGCUGGUCCCACAUCACCGCCCGCACCAGGAAAUCAAAGCUCCCACCUCAGGCUCCCCUCUUCCAACUCCACCUGGAGAACAGGUUUGACACCCUGGACCUCCAUGACUCCCCCCCGCUGCCCGCGGGAUCCCAGCCGAUGUCCACCCGGCUAUCCCAUGGGUCCUGCGGUCCUCCGCCUCCCGUGCCCGACCAUCCGCACGCCGGGUCCCUCCGGCGGCGCUCGAUGCCGUGCUUCACACCGGCACCACGGCUGGCCCGUGUCCCUUCCCUCUCGCCUCAGUUGUCCUCCCCGGCGAGUUCCCCCCCUCCCCAUUCCUCUCUGGUCACGCAGUCUCCACGUCCACUUUUCCCUCCAACGACUUUAAUUGUGGGCGACUCCAUCGUGAGAAACAUCCGCUUUUUUAACGCUCUCACGCGGUGUUUCCCCGGUGCGAGGGUCCUUGACAUUUUAACACUCCUCCCCACUCUGUUAAAAUCUCUGCCAACUUCCAUCCAGAGAAUUAUAAUUCAUGUUGGCACCAAUGACACGUCCCUCCACCAGACCGAGCUCACGAAGGACCAUUUUACCCAACUUUUUAACUUUCUGAAGAACUGUGAACUGUCUGUUUUUAUCAGCGGCCCCAUUCCCACUUCUGGUCGUGGGUGCGGGAGCUUCAGCAGAGUGCUCAGCCUGCACACCUGGCUCCAAUCUGCCUCCCAAGCCCAUAGCUUUGCCUUCGUGGACAAUUUUAAUCUUUUUUGGAACCGUUCAUCCCUUUUUAAACUGGAUGGUAUCCACCCGAACACCACAGGUAGCCGCAUGUUAGCGGCUAACCUGCAGCACACUGUUCACUGUUUCCCACGUGAUUGACUAUUUACUUCCCCCCCACACACACACCCCUCUCCCUCUGUUGUGCACCCACUGCUGACAGGUCCUCCCCAGAGCUCCCCCUGCUGGCAAAUUCUGUCACCGACUCCCUCUGCCACAGGUUUUCAUGACAUUUUUUCCCCACUCCCUAAUAAUUACAGUAGUAUCCAACUUCUCACUAUUCCUGUCCAUAUCACCAACAGACACCACUCUAAUAGAUACACCACCCGGACUGUCAAUCACUCUGUUUUAACAAGCCCAUCCAUACUGGCUCCCAUCCUCACCAAACAUGACAAUACCUAUGUCAGCUUCGGACUCCUCAACAUCCGCUCACUCACCAACAAGGGACACAUCUUCCACGAUCUCCUCACUGACCGCAAGCUGGACUUCCUCUGCAUCACUGAAACAUGGCAACAACCAAAUGACUUCUCAUCACUCAACGACUCCACCCCCCCGGACUACACCUACCUCUCCCACCCCCGCAGCCACGGCCGUGGUGGAGGUAUCGCCGUCAUCCACCACAAAAAGUGGAAAGUUCUACCGCUGUCCUUGCCUCUUUUCUCCUCACACGAACUUCUGGCAAUUACACUCCCUGGUCCCACUCCCACCAUCAUCGCCACCAUCUACCGCCCCCCCAAGCCUCACUCUGACUUCUUAAAUGACUUUUCGGUUCUACUCACCCAUCUAUGCACACUCUCACCAAACAUAAUAAUACUGGGGGACUUCAAUAUCCAUAUUGACAACACCAACCUCCCCCUCACCAGAGACUUCUCAUCCUGCCUGGACAGUUUUGGACUCCAUCAAUUCAUCAACUUCCCGACACACACUAAAGGACACACUCUGGAUUUACUCUGCUGCUCUGGCCUCAUCCCAUCCAACUGCACAGCUGAUGAUCUCCACGUAAGUGACCACCUCCUCAUCUCCUUCAGUAUUCCGCUCUCCCUCUCUAGAGUUUAUUCACCACGCCUCAUUACAUUCCGCAACCUUAAGAACAUAAACAUUGACACUCUGCGCUCUAAGAUUAUGAAUAUUGUGAUCCCGGACUGUUACACUACCCCUGAUGACAUAACAUCUCAUUACAACACCUGUUUAAAUAGCAUCCUCAAUUCCCUUGCUCCACUCAAAACACGCUCUGUUUCCUUCUCCACAACUGCACCCUGGUACACCCCCCACCUCCGCUCCAUGAAAACCAAAGGCCGCCAACUGGAAAGACUUUACAAGAAAACUGGACUCUCCAUUCACAAAGAAAUGUACAUUAACCACAUACGCUGCUACAAGGACUCAAUUUCUCACGCAAAAACAGACCACUACUCCGCCCAGAUCAUCUCCAACAAAGGAAACACCAGAUCACUAUUCACUCUCCUCAACAAAUCUCUCCAGCCACCGGACUCCCUCCCUCCCCACCUGUAUUCAACCGACACCUGCAACACCCUAAUGCAGUUUUUUAAUGACAAAAUCUCCAACAUCCAUAAACAACUACACUCAGGUUCUCUUCCCCCUGGACCCCCUCCAAACUCACCUACUCCCCUGCCACACCACCAGCCUUUCUCCAGUUUUCUUCUCCCCAAUGACUCUGAAAUCUAUGAUCUCAUCCAGAAAUCCAAACCCUCAACCUGUCAGCUGGAUCCCCUUCCCACCACACUGCUCAAAUCAUGCCUCCCAUCUGUGCUCCCUCUCAUAUCUGCCAUCAUUCACUCCUCACUCACCACUGGAACUGUUCCCACAUCCCUCAAGACAGCAGCCAUCACCCCUAUCCUUAAAAAACAUGGCUCUGACCCUAAUAACUUCAACAACCUCCGCCCCAUCUCAAAUCUACCGUUUAUAGCCAAAAUAAUGGAAAAGGUCGUCGCCAGCCAACUUCACACCCACCUAACCCAGAACUCCCUCUAUGACCCCUUCCAAUCUGGUUUCCGCCCCCGCCACAGCACCGAAACCGCACUGCUAAAAAUUACUAAUGACCUUCUCACUGCAUCUGACUCUGGUUCACUUUCCAUCCUCAUCCUCCUCGACCUUAGUGCAGCCUUCGACACCAUCUCCCAUCCCAUCCUCCUUCAUAGACUCUCCUCCAUCGGCAUCACCCACACUCCCCUCCGCUGGUUCCACUCUUACCUCUCAGACCGCACACAGUUCAUCCAGCUCAAAUCAUUCAAGUCCGACCCCUCCCCAGUCAGUUCAGGUGUGCCCCAGGGCUCUGUCCUGGGGCCCCUGCUGUUCAUCAUCUACCUCCUCCCCCUUGGUUCCAUCUUCCAUAAAUUCAACAUUCAAUACCACUGCUACGCUGACGACACCCAGCUCUACCUCUCCAGCUCACCAAACUCCACCCUCCCACCCACCUCCCUCAUCACCUGCCUAUCUGAAAUUAAAUCCUGGUUCACCUCCAACUUUCUCCAAUUAAACAGUCAGAAAACAGAAAUUCUUCUUGUAGGUUCCAAAUCCACCCUAUCCAAAGUUGACAGUCUCUCCCUUCCCAUCGACAGUUCCUCAGUUUCCCCCUCCCCUCAGGUCAAGAGUCUGGGUGUCGUCCUUGACAGUUCUCUUUCUUUUAAAUCCCACAUCAGCCUUACCACUCGCACUGCCUAUUUCCACCUCCGCCACAUCAAUCAUCUCCGCCCCUCCCUCUCCCCCAACACCACCUCCAUCCUCGUCCACAGUCUCGUCACCUCCCGUCUGGAUUACUGCAACUCCCUCCUCUUCGGUCUCCCUUACACGUCUCUCCAUAAACUUCAACUGGUCCACAACUCCGCUGCCCGUAUCAUCACCAAAACCCCUUCGUCCCACCACAUCACCCCCAUCCUUCAGCAGCUUCACUGGCUCCCGGUCCCUCUACGAAUCCAGUUCAAAAUCCUCCUGUAUACCUUCAAAGCCAUCCACAACCUCGCCCCUCCUUACCUAUCUGACCUCCUCCACAUCACCACUCCAGCACGCCACCUCCGUUCCUCUUCCUCUCUCCACCUCUCUGUGCCCCCUGUUCACCUCAGCACUAUGGGGGGCAGAGCUUUCAGUCGCUCUGCCCCCCGACUCUGGAACUCUUUACCAUCAUACAUCCGCAACAUAGACUCCCUCCCCCUCUUCAAGUCCAAACUCAAAACACACCUGUUUAAACUGGCCUAUCCCUCCCACCACCCCUAACCCACUUUUUUUUAAUUAAAUUUCAAUUGGUAUUAUUAAUUUCUUUAUUUAUUCCUUUGCUGUUGUUCAUGUUUAAUGUUGCUUUGUUGAUUUUUAACUGUUUGAUGAUUAAUGUGUGACGUGAAAGGCGCUUCAAAUAAAAUGUAUUAUUAUUAUUAUUAUUUCUUAAAGUCUUGAUUUACAACAGGGGCGAGUUUAGCAUCUGGUCUUUAGGGGUGCUCAGCCCCCACCCCAGUGUUGACAGAGGCACAUUAUUUUUCACUAAAUGAGGCCUACAAGUACAUUUGUAAAUGUUGGAGCUGUAUUAGUUUUGCUUUGAGUGUGAAUUCCAUCCAAUUUGCAUAUUACAUGAGCCAUGCCCAUAGAAAAACAGUUACAUUUUCUUACAUGAGCACAGGUAAAUAGCUUACUCAUACAAAACCCCAGAUCAAAUAAUUCCUCUUGUAGGUACAGCAUUGUACUUCCUCAUUAAUUAUGACCAAAACACAUUUUAUCCCACAAUACUAUCUUUAAUGGUAUGCCACAUUUUUACCAUUUUGGAGGGGAAAAAAAUGAAGCCUCCCCUUAAUCUAAAUGUAAAUCUAAAAAAUGUUUUCUUGAAAGGGAGGAAAAAAGAUUUGUCACAUCCCAUUCACCUCACACCAAAACAUAACAACUAAGUUAUUAUUAUUUCCUCUUACCUGAAGUUGACUUUAGGCCAGUGGUUCUCAAACUUUUUUUGUCAUUCCCCCCUUUGGAGGAAGAAAAAAUUUCAUUCCCCCCUACCCCAACAAAAUUGUGACAAAAUAGGCCAUGUAUAACUUUAUUGACAUAACAUUCCUUCUGCUGUAUUCCUCAAAACUAGAAAACAAACGUGCAGCCUUCGAGGCUGCUGCUCCCCGUCUGUGGAACGCCCUCCCCGACCACCUCAGGGCUCCACAGUCGGUGGAUGCUUUUAAAAAAGGACUCAAAACCUUCCUCUUUCGGAAAGCCUACCCGGACUAAUUUUAUCUGAUUUUAUCUGCUGACUGUUUUUAUUGUUUUGCCCUGUUGCUUGAUUUUAUUGUUAUUGUUGUCUUGUUGUGCACUUUGAGAUUUGUUUUCAAAUGUAAAGUGCUUUACAAAUAAAAUCUAUUAUUAUUAUUAUGUUGCAAGAACAAUAAUAAUCAAACAAUAUCAAGUUGAGUAAGUACAAAAAAUCCUGUGAAUCCAAGAGCAAGAUAGCAAGAUAGCUUCAUCAUAUUUCCUUGACUUGGCUUUUUGUUGGUUUGGCCUACUGUCAUCUAGGCAUGCUGUAUUGCUGGCUUCAGCUUUUCUUUUCAUCCCUGUCAAAUGUCUCUCCAUUCUGUACUUUUAUAUACAAUUUAUUAUUCUGAUCUGAACACAGUUGCUGGUUGUCACGGUGACAGGGGAAAGCGCGGGUUGUCCGCCGCUAAAAAAAUUCUGACGUCCAAACAUUGGUUCCGUGGCACGGACUCUGCACAACGCGAAACGGAGCAGCUUCAGCUCCUCUCAGAGCUCUCCACAGCGAGAGGAGUGCAGCAGCUGCUGGCAUAGCACGGCGUCGGUGGUUAUCUCCGCCCUGGUUUCUGAGCUAGUUCCCACCAUGAAUUAGCACAGCAGAAAGCGUCUUUGUAUGCUUUCAGGAGGACAUUGUACAGGUGGGGAUAGCAGCAUACUUAACAGGUGUUAUGCCGUAGAAUGCACCCCUGCUGUAGAAUGCACCCCCUGCAUCCCCUCCACUUGUUGCAACUUUCGUUCUGUUUUUAUGUGUCUCAAAAAUGCACAUACGGAGGUGUGCUUGGGUAUAUAAACUGUACAGUAAGCUGUCAAGCUAGCGAACAUUAUAUUUUCGGGACAACAAAUAUUCCAAAUCAGAGGGCUAUUUUUUCGGCUUAUCUGAAUAGCCUGAAUGAAAUUAUUAAAGGCGGACGCUUUUGAAUUCAUCCAAUGGUAAGGAAAACUUGAAUUAUUUUCGCCUUGUUAAGUACUUUCAACCGCGCUCCCGUCGGGGGGGUAGUUUAUGGCAGGGGUGCAUUCUACGGCACAACACCCGACAAGUAUCUCGCCUUGAGCGUCCACCACAACAAAUGCUGCUUCUUCGCGGUAAAAUAAAGAAACAGGAUUUAGGGCACUGGACUCCCCCUACUGAUGUGGCGAGUUCAGUAUGGCGCAUGCGUGACGAGCGCCGUGCCUGCACAGGAGGUGCCGCGCUAUCGCGGGUGCACACCAACCUAUUUGUAGCCGGGUGACUCGCGCCCCCCCCAGGGAUGGCUCCGCGCCCCCCUAGGGGGGCGGGCCACACACUUUGAGAAACGCUGCUUUAGGCCCUUGUUUUUAAAAAAAGAACGCCUGUCCAUCUGUGGAAAGACAGAUAAUAGGUCAGAUUUUCCCAGUGUUCCAGUUAACUAUGCAUGGGGGUCUGUAAUGAACCAUGGACAAUGGCAAAAAAGUAACAUGCAAGUAUCCCCCAUGCAAAAAAUGAGAUGAACCACAAAAAGUCUUUCAAAAAUUGAAUUCCACUCCGAUGUCUGGUACAGGACUGCACCACCCUGGUUGUUAUAGCAACGCAGCGCAACUAUGCUGACCGCUGGUAAAACAACAGUGGAGAAAAAACAGCAACAACAAGUAGGACAACAACGCAAGUGGAAACAGGGCUUAUUUUGUAGUACCUUCAUAUGUUCCAUACCUUCUUACCUCAGAAUGCGCCGACUCGGGUGCUGCUGCCUCGGUCAGCUGAAGCAGAGGUGUACACUGGUAGCAAGCAAUUGCGUAAACGUGCCAACCAAUCAAAAGAGGUGUAGGUGAUAAGUGGGUUAACAAGACUUGUAUUGAAGCUCACACAGCAGCAGAGGGGCAGAGCGACGUCACUCUGCGCAGUUGCACUCAUUUCUGAAGAUUUUCGCACAACACGAUCUUUUGGAGAGGUGCUGAGCUAGGGAGUGUUCAGCUAAUUCAUGGGGGUGCUGAAGCAUCCCUAAAAAUAGCCUAAACUCGCCACUGAUUUACAAGAGGACCCACAGUACAAUACCAUAUGAUAUAAUGGGUUCAAUUACAGACUGGAAUACUUUGAUCCAGAUUCUGACUGGAAUAUCAACGUAUCAAUAUCAAUGUGGAGAUUUUUUAGUAGACUAGAAGGCUCUUCUACCCUUGUCUUGCAGAUCGUUAAUGGCCAGACUGAAAUUUCCUGAAGGUGUGAUGUUUAGUCCGAGGUAUGUGUAGCUGUGUGUGUGUGUGUUGUAUUGUAUGUCUGUAGAGUCCAGGAGGAACCUGUGCUGGUCUUUCUGACAUUUGGGUUGUUUCUGAAAGACCAUGACUUUUGUCUUCUCUGGGUUAACGGUAAGGGCCCAGGUCAGACAGAACCAUUGCAGAUGAUCUUAUUGUUUUUGUAGAGUCUCUGUAGAUGGAGAGAGCAGGAUUAGAUCAUCCGCAAAAGUAAGCAUUUGACUUUUGUGUCCGGGAGGGUGAGACCAGGGAUGUCUGACUCUUACUUGUCCCUGGGCUCAUACUUGUUUCCACUUUUGUGAUUUGGGGUGAUUAUUCCUUGGUUCCAGGUGUCUGGAAAAUGUCCAAUGAUCAGAAUAAGAUUGAAUAAUUUCAAGAUGGCCGUCUUGAUUUUAUGGCUGCUAAACUGAGGCAUUUCAUUUAGGAUGUGAUCCGGUCCACUUGCCUUCCUUGGCUGCAGAGCCUUAGUCAGCAGCUCCUAUUCACUAAUUACAUAGUCUAAAGGGUUUUGAUUGUCUUUAACAACUGAUUCAAGGGCUUCUUAUUUGUUGAGCAGAUUAUUUUGGGCUGAAUCCAGAGUGAUUGCGCGGUAUAGAUUUUCAAAGUGCUUUUUCCUAAUUUCACCAGUUUGAACGGCCAGUUCUUCUUUGUUUGAUUUAUUAAAUGAAUGCCAUUUUUUUCCAAAAAAUUAUUAGUCAAUAGACCCUUCAAUUUCUUCUAGUAGGUGCUGCUCAUGUUGUUUCAUUUAGUGCUCAGUGCUUUUCUGUAUAACUUCAGUGAUUCCCAGUAUCGAAGGCGGAACUCCUGAUUAUCAGGUUGCUGGUGUUUUUCAUUGGAUAAUUUACGGAGUGUUUUUCUCAGAGAUCUGCAGUCAGAAUCAAACCACUUUUCAUCAGUAGAUUUGUUUGAACUAUGACGCUUAGUCCAUGUAGAUUCUCAUUCAUCCAGGUCAUGGUUAUCUUGAAGACUAAAAAACAGGCAACUGGACUGUGUAGAGUUAAGAAGACGUUUCGCCUCUUAUCCAAGAAGCUUCUUCAGUUCUAAAAGUGCUAGUGUCAGGAGCAGAUAUUUAUCUUACUGGAGAAGGGGGACAGUUAACGACUGGGAGGAGUUGAAAAGAAUGGGUCGUAGAAACCCACCUCUCGGUGUGUCCCCCCCAAGUCGUUAUCCUGAAAGGGUCGUUAGCGACUCCUAUCAUGUGACCACAUGACUCAUGCCACCUGAGUCAUGUGGUUCCAGGUGUGAAUGUUUGUGGAGCUUUCUGGGGAGAGAGCUGAGAACUGCAUUGUAAGUGCCAGAGAGAUUGUGCCUGAGUCCACCCCCUCUGUUCAGAGAAGGUUUCUCCAGCCUGGUAAAGAUGGCUUCUUUAACUCCUCUUUCAAACCAUCUGUCUUCUCGAGCCAACACCUGUACAUCGCUGUCCUCAAAAGAGUGACCUGUAUCCUUCAAGUGAAGGUGGACAGCUGAGUCCUGACCUGAGGAAGUGGCUCUCCUGUGUUGAGCCAUGCGCUUGUGAAGCGGUUGUUUAGUUUCCCCAAUGUACAGGUCUGAGCAUUCCUCGCUGCACUGGACAGCAUAUACCACAUUACUCUGUUUAUGUCUCGGUGUUUUGUCCUUGGGAUGGACUAGCCUCUGCCUUAGUGUGUUACCAGGCUUGAAAUGAACAGGAAUGUGGUGUUUGCCAAAGAUCCUCUUGAGUUUCUCAGACAGGCCUGCAACGUAAGGGAUUACAGUGCUCUUGCGUCUCUCCUCCCUUUCCUGUUCAGUGUUAUUUCUCUUUCUGUUCUUCACAAAGGCCCACUUAGGGUAUCCACAGGUUGUCAGGGCAUUUUUGAUGUGCUUUUGUUCCUUUUCCUUACCUUCUUUCUUCGUGGGAAUGUUCUCGGCCCGGUGGUUGAGUGUUCUGAUGACACCCAGUUUGUGCUGCAGAGGAUGGUGGGAAUCAAAAAGUAGAUAUUGAUCCGUGUGUGUUGGUUUCCUGUACACUUCAACGUUGAGACACCCAUCUGCCUCCAAGUGUACAGCACAGUCCAAAAAGGCCAACACUUUGUCCUUGACAUCUUCACGGGUGAACUUGAUGUUGCUGUCCACUGUGUUGAUAUGGUCAGUGAAGGCCUCUACUUCAUGUGCUUUGAUCUUAACCCAGGUGUCAUCCACAUAUCUGAACCAGUGGCUAGGAGCAGCUCCCUUGAAAGAGGUUAGGGCCUUCCUCUCUACCUCUUCCAUGUACAGGUUUGCCACUAUAGGAGAAACCGGGGAGCCCAUGGCGCAUCCGUGUUUCUGUCUGUAAUGGCGCUCUCUGAACUGGAAUUAGGUGGUGCUGAGGCAGAUGUCCAAUAAGGAGCAGAUGUGGUCCGGAGUUAAGUUGGUUCUGACUUCCAGUGUGCUGUCCUGUGAGAGGCGUUGCCUAUGACGCUUAGAUUUGUUCAGAUUGGAUAGAGAUGCUAUUUGGUCAAAUAUAUUGUUAAUAUCCCCAACAGCCUGAUUGAGGCCAUCAUUACUGUGGGGAUAUGAGGUGAAGAGAAAAUGGUUCAACUUAGUUUAGAUAGUUGGAUGCCCGAUUGCUCUCUGAAAGUCAUCUUUGCUAUGACUUGUCCACCUGUAAGGCUGUUUUGAGCGGUUGAGCCUUCUGGGCUGUGCUACACGGGGUCUGCUGGGGUCCUCCUAAUGUACAGGGUGAUUUUGCUAUGAUCUGAUAGGGGUGUUAGGGGGCUGACGGUGAAUGCCUUAAGAUAGAAGGGGUCUAGGUCUGUAAUACUAUAGUCUACUGUGCUGUUGCCAAGAGAGGAGCUGUGUGCUCUCGAACCGACCGUUGACUAUGUACAGACCCAGUGUGCGACACAUCUGCAGCAGUUGAUGACCAUUUCUGAUGACAGUUUUAUCAAAGUUGUUUCUGUGCAGAUGUGGAAGAGGAGGGAUGCUGAUCUGACCAGGUAUGUUUUUGUCUCCCUGUGCAUUAAUUGAAUCAGGAUCUGUGCCUGUUCUGGCGUUAAGGUCAUCACAGAUCAGCAAGUUUCUCUGUGUCUGGUAGCAGCUGAUCUCGUCUUCCAGAAUGGGGAAAGUGUUUUCGUUAUAAUAAGGGGACUCUGAUGGGGGGAUAUAGGCUGCACACGUGAAUAGGUCUUUGUCUGUGGAGGUAAGCUUUUUUUUUAUUUCAAACCAAAUUGAAAAAUCUCCUUUUAUGAUUAAUUCUCUUGAUCUCUUGAUUGUGUGAGGUUUGUCUUAUACCAGAUCAACAUCCCUCCUGAAUCUCUGCCUUGGCUUACACUCUUCAGUUUGGUAGAUGGAAAAAUGACUUCUCUAAACCCCCCCCCCCCCCCCCCCUUUGUCUCAGAGCAGGUCAGUGUGCUUCUCUCUGAGCUGAUUGAGGUGGUUUGUCUUGAAGCUUGAAUGAGUGAAGUUCAGACUGAGGUUUGGAGGUUAGAUGAUAAAACAGUUAGUGAAACACCUUUACCUGGCCAGCACAGGUGUGCUCACAUGUCAGACACAGAGCAGGUUACAUCAAUCAAUCAAUCAAUCAAUCAAAUUUUAUUUAUAUAGCGCCAAUUCAAAACAGUUGUCAUCUCAAGACACUUUUCAAAGAACAAGAGCAGGUCUAGACCACGCUCAUUGUUUGAUGAUCAAGAACCAACCUAAGAUGGGUUUUGGCCCAUCUCAUCUAACAUGAGUAGCAGUGGCAAGGAAAAACUUCCUUUUAACAGGCAGAAACCUUGGGCAGGACCAGACUCAUGCCAGACAGCCACCAUGCCGCUGCUGGGUUGAGGAGGAAUGUAGAGAGAUAGAAGGAGAGAGGGAGAGAGAGAGAGAGAGAGAGAAGAGGGCAGGGGGAGAGAGAGAGAGAACGAGAUAAGGGGAAGGAGAGAGAGAAUGAGUAAGGAGAGGGAGGGGGAGGGAGAGAGUAGAGAACAAGGGUGAGAGAGAGACAGGGGACAGCAGUAACAACAGCAACAACAACAACAGCUAUGGUGAAAUGUAAUGGUGAAACAAAAUGAAUUCAGUUUACUGGUUUAGGAUUUGAGUAAUGGACAAUGUUAAAUUAAUUAGAUGUGAUUACAGUCAGCAGGCCUAAUAGUAGUCAACUCUAGUUUUAUGUUAUUAAUGUCAAUGAGGCUGAUGUUCAUGUCUGUAGUAACAGUCCAGAGGAAUCCAAGAGAAGAAGGAGCUCAGGGCCUGAGGCGGACAAUCAUAGACGAUGCGGCUAGAGUCAGGCAGGUCUGCAGCAGCCAUCAGUCCAGGGCAACCUAGGGGGCUGGGGCUCAGAGACAUACAGAGAGAUCUGGUUAGCAAUUUGUUGGGAGAAAAUGACUUCAAUGUACAGGAUAAUGAAGUGACUAAUUAUGGACUAUGAUAAAUUAAUUUAAGGUGAUUAAAGUUAAAACUCAAUGGCAGUUUACUCUAGAUUUAUUUUAUAGAUGUCAGUUAGGCUACCUUACGUGUCUGCAGCAACGGUCCAGAGGAGCCUAAGAGAUGGAGGAGCUCAGGGCCUGAGGUGGACAAGUAAGGACGAUGCAGCUGGGGUCAGGCAGUUCCGCAGCAGACUAUCUGCAGCAUUAGUCCAGUGGAAGCUAAGAGACUCAGAGACACUCAGAGAGAGAGAAAUCUGGUUAGUGACUUAUAUGGGACAUAAAGAUCUAAAGGAGAGAUAGAGACAGACUCUAGCUCAGUGUGCCAGAUAACCCCGGCAGUCUAAACCUAUAGCAGCAUAACUAAGAGCUGGUUCAAAUCAGCCCAAACUGUAAGCUUUAUAAAAGAGUCAUGAUUUUGGAGUCAUAGAAACUCUGAGAAUUCUGACAAAAACUCAGAGUAUGGGCUGGGAGGGCGAUAAACUAUAGCAAAUACCAGUGGUCUCAUGGUCUUUGAGGCUGGAUGCGGAAGACUGAGAACAAGACUUUCAAAAGAGUUACAAUUCAGUUUUGGUCUUGGGUUGAUUGCAAGACUGGAAUUGUAAAUAGCUGCAACUCCACCACCUCGGCCAGAGUCCCAAGGAAUGUGAAAGCUUAGGUGGCUAGGAGGAGUGGAUUCAUUUAAGCUGACAUAUUCAUCCUGACGCAGCCAAGUUUCGGUUAGGGAGAGUAAAUCAAUGUGACGAUCAGAGAUUAGUUCAUUUAUUAACACAGAUUUGGAACUUAAAGACCUUAUGUUUAGUAGACCACAUUUUAUCUUACUACUACUUGGUUCAGCUAUGUUAGCAGUUUUAAUUCUAAUAAGGUUCUUGUUAUUUACUCCUUUGUUAAUCAAUUGGUUGAAUUAAAGAGCCGAGGACGAGGGACAGACACAGUCUCUAUAUUAAAGUGACAGAAGCUAGGAGGCUGCUCGAACAAAAGUGCAGAGGAACGUGCAGAACUGCGGCUAUGCUCCCUGAUCUCUAUGUCAAACUGAUUGUAGCUAGGAAGCUGCUCUGAAGGGAGUACAGAGGGGCGUGUAGGACUGCGGUUCUGCUCCCUGAGCUCUAUAUCAAACUGAUUGUAGCUAGGAGGCUGCUCUGAAGGGAGUGCAGAAGUGCAUGUAAGACUGCGGCUCUGCUCCCUUGUCUCUGUAUAUAAGUGAUAGUGGCUGGGAAGCUGCUCUAAAGGAGGCGCAGUGGGGCGUGUAGGACUGCAGCCCUGCUCCCUGAUCUCUGCUCUGAAUUGUCAGUGGUUCGGACUAAUAAAAUCGGCCAGAUUUCUGGAUAAAUGGGCCGCUCCAUCUCAAGCUGGAUGAAUGCCGUCCCGACUAAUCAGACCAGGCUUGCCCCAAAAUGACUUCCAAUUAUCAAUGAAGCCCAUGCCGUUUUGCGGACACCACCUUGACAGCCAGCGGUUGAAUGAUGAGAUACGGCAACUCAUCAGUUGUCUGAUCGGGCAGGGGACCAGAGAAAACUACGGAGUCCGACAUGGUUUUGGCAUAUUCACACACCGAUUCCACAUUCAAUUUAGUGACUUCAGAGUCAUUAACGCCGACAUGUAUUACAAUCUUACGGAAUUUACAUUAAGCCUUUGCCAGCAGUUUUAAACUACCUUUGAUGUCGCCCGCUCUGGCCUCUGGGAGACACUGAACUAUGGCUGCUGACUUCGCUAAUUUCACAUUUCGGACUACAGAGUCUCCAAUCACAAGAGCGUCGGGCUCAGCAGGUGUGUUGCUGAGAGGGGCAAAUUUGUUUGAAAUGUGAAUAUGGUGGUCUAACGUGGGCUUCUGAGGCCUGCUGCUAUGCUUCCCUUUCACAGUGACCCAACCACUACUACACCCCAGCUGCGCGGGAUCUGCUGGGGGGGGGGAGCUAAGCUAGGCCGACCCGCACCGGCUACCGGGUCCUGGCUGGCUACCGCUACUGUAGCAUCGGUGCGGAGCCGCUUUUCCAAAUCUGUAAUCCUCGCCUCCAGAGCAUCAGAGCACCAAAAAUCUGACACACUGAGCAGAAGCGAGCAGGAGAAGCAGGCGACCGGGGGGAAGCGAUUGUUAGCAAGUGAAGCUAAGAGAAGCUAAAAGCUAGUAAAGUAAACCACCAGAGAGAUCACCCAGAAUGGAGAUAAAGACGGUGCUUGGUGAAAACUAUCAGAUAUACUUACAGACUUUUAAACAAACAGAUGUAUUGAUAGAUUAAAGAGAGAAAAUAACCCAAAAAGCAAGAACACUAUCAGGAGGAGCAAACCGCUACACACAGUUCAACAGCAAGGAAGGGAAUGAUGCAAUGCGCACGCUCACCAGUCAGGAGGAGGAGUCAGCACUCUUUGUCCUUACCUGAGCUGUUAUUCACAUGACACAUGAACAGUAAGGAUCUGCAGAGACAGAGAGAGAUCUUCUGGAGUGAGGGUGUAACAUAAAAUCACUCCUUUAACUCGGGAUAUGAGAAGUCCUUCAUUUAGCUCAUGUUGAGCCUUUAUAGACCUUUAAACAGGGACUGAUGGCCCACCUGAUAAAACCCUUUAAACAGGGACUGGUGGUCCACCUGAUGGUCCACAUGAUGCUAUCAUCAGCAGUUAGUUUUUGAAGGAAAUGGAGACAGUUCAUCUCUACAGUCGGACACGAAAUAAGAGCAAACUGCACAGAACUGAGACAGAGCGGUAAGGGAGAGGGUCAGCAACCCAUGAAUCCACCCCCUUUGCACUCCCCCACCCCCCAACCUCUUUGAGGGAUUAAAGCUGCUCUCUAAUUGGAUGUAAACCUACUGUAAUCUGCUGGCCCUAAGGUCACGCACACUGUCACUCUGAUAUUAGCCUCACAGUCUGCUCAGGCUGAUCCAGCUGGAGACUGUCACAGUUACUUUGAUCAGUCUGAGAUCAGAGUUGAUCCUCAUUCAUCCACAGACCAGUUCAACGUUUACUGUAGGUUCAAGCUCAAGCGUGUCUCAUACCUGUCCUCACAUUCAUUACUGUAACAGACUGGCCAACACUGCAGCAGGAUUUCCCUCUGCUGCCUAAUAUCUGCUCAGAAAUACAGUUUCUGAAGCCAAUCAGGACUGAGCAGGCUUUGGUUGUAUCUGCAGGAUAUAAUCUGUGCAACAUCACACACAGACUGAAAUGUCAUCCCAGAGCUCCUCGGCUGUAAUCUGACCUUCAUUACCUCUUUAUUCAUAUCUGAAAACAAGAGACUUGUAAGUGUUUUGUGUAAAGGUCCUUACACACCAGGCGAGAAUUCGCCAAGCGAAUUAUUCGCCUUUUUUUAAAACAGCAUAAAGUCAAUGCAAGCUUCCACACCGGCGGCGAUUUUUCCGCGGGGCGAAAAGCCGCUUUUAUUUUUUCGCUCUUGUGUCGAAUUUUUCGGAUAUUCGCAGGCGAAUAUCUGGACCUGCUAGACCUCUGGCCAAUCAAAAGUCAUGUUGUUGAUGACAUCACAGACCCAUACGGCUGGAGGAGAGGGAGAAGUUUGAGAUUAUGAAAACGCAGAGAAAGACAGCUGAGGUGCAUCCAAAACUCUUUCGAAUUACUAAUGAAGUAGUUUUCUCACAAGAUGACUCUCUCUUGUCUUCCUUAGGAGACAGAUGUCAUGUGUCAUGUCCGUGCCGCAAAGCGACUUUAUUAAUUCGCUUUGCAAAAAAAUAUACGCAUAUUCGCUUCGCGGCCGGUGUGUAUAGGCGAAAGCGAUUUUUCGGACCGGCAAAUAUUCGCAAUUUUCGUCUCGCUUUUUCGCUUCGCUCCGCAAAUUCGCCGGUGUGUAAGGACCUUAAGACUGACAGCUCCUCGUUUCUGUGAGAGACUCUGCAGAGCAGCAGCAGCAGCAGCAAAUUAUGAUGGAAACACACUGAUUACAGUGUGUGUACAUGCAGGAGCUAUUCUUAGACACACACACACACUGGGUCAGGAUCCCUGUAGAGGUUUGAUAAGCGCCUGCUCUGCCUCCUUUUCUCCCUAAAGCAGCUGAACAGACACAGAUCAGGUUUUUAAUUCAGACUCAUCAGCAGCUCUGAAUUCUGGGGGGUCUGCAGAGGUGACAGACUCCACUAUCAGACAGAGGUGAGAAACUAUAGUGGCAGCAGGCUGAGAAGGUGGAUUCUCUAUAAUCAUGAUACCACCUUGGUCCGAUUAGUGGUACUGGAUAAAACUUCUGAACCUGUCAUUCUCCUCAUUUGUAGAGGCUCGGACACAACUCUGACGGAUUGACUGACACUGUAGCUGUCAGUGAGGAGGUUGGAGUCCGGCCCAAACUCCCCCUCUCCACCUCUUGGUAGGUCGACUGUCAAGUCAGCUUUUCCGUCGUGGUGACUGAUGAGGUUAAAACUCCUCUUCAGAAACCACCAGUGACCACAUCCAUGCUUUGGACAGGUCAUGGUUACAGCUGAUAGUUAGCACAAUGAUAGCAACAGGCUAAUGGGACUCUGCAUCUGCAUCCAUUAAACACCAGCAGUGGAGCUGGAGCUCAGUCCAGCACCAUCACAGCUCAGGAGAGACCUGUGAAGAGCUGAGCUCCAGGUAUACGGGGGAGCAAAAGUAUGAAUCACAUCCUCAUUUUAGAUUUCAUAGAUGGAUGCAGAAAAGUCCAAUUGAUUGAAAGUAACUGAUGUCUUCAAAAUGAGGGUUCAGAGUGAAGAGCAGAGACAGUGGAGAGACCCAGACUGUUAGUCCUGAUCCCUCCCAUUAUCAGCUCAGACAAAAGCUUUAAACCAAACCUUUAAACAGGAGACAUACCAGGUCUAGGGGGGAAAAUGGGAGGGGAUCAUCUAAGCUCUGGUUUUAAGACUUUAUGAACUGUCAGAGCUUCAGUCAUAGAAAACACACCUGAAACAGGUAAACCGCAAAAACGCGUAGGAAAGUCUGCUAAGAGUCUGAAUGAGUGUGUGUUAGUCCUUGUGAUUUUAGAUGUGUGUGUGUGUGUGUGUGUGUGUGUGUGUGUGUGUGUGUGUGUGUGUGUGUGUGUGUGUGUGUGUGUGUGUGUGUGUGUGUGUGUGUGUGUGUGUGUGUGUGUGUGUGUGUGUCCUGUCCUGGGGACUGUCCUGUUUAAACAUGUUAUUGAUAAAGAGUGUGUGUAUAGUGGCGGGUGGAGGUUGAGUUUCAGCCCUAAGGUCAGGGUUUCUUCAGUCCUCAUCCUCCAGCAUACAGCUGCUCCCGGCACACCUGAGCCAUGACUAACACACACAUCCACACACACACACACACACACACACACACACACACACACACACACACACACACACACACACACACACACACACACACACACACCUGAAAACACAAGGACUAACACACACUCAUUCAGACUCUUAGCAGACUGCAGACUGUCUUACUGUAUGUGAACACCUGGGUUGAGUUUGUGGGGCUUGCUUUCAGGAUUACAGGAUUUAGGGGUCAGGAUUCAGGAUUCAGGAUUUAGGAUUCAGGAUGCGGGAUUCAGGAUUUAGGAUUCAGGAUUUAGGAUUUAAGAUUUAGGAUUUCAGAUUUAAGGUUUCAGGAUUAGAGAUACAGGAUUCAGGAUUUUGGAUUCAGGAUUCAGAAUUCAGGGUGUGGUAUUCAGGAUUUCGGAUUCUGGAUUUUAGGACUUAAGAUUAAGGAUUCAGGAUUUAGGAUCUUUGUCUGUGUUGCUGCUGUGGCAAAAACAUUUCCCCCAUGGGGGAUCAAUAAAGGAAUAUUCUAUUCUAUUCUAUUCUAUUCUAUUAGCUCAGCUGGUCAUGUCCUACCAUCCAAUUAUCACAUGUAAAAAUGUUCAUCCUGUUUAAAGACCUUCUGCUUGCCCACUCCUCCUCUGUAAACUUCUCUGCUACUGCUGCUUCUCCCCAGCUCCUCCUUUUUAUGCUGUGUCUGAUUUUACCUGAGUCAUAUGGAUUUGUACAGAAGCUGCUCUGUACUGUACCUCAGCGGUCUUUGCGGAUGCUGUCCCCGCCUCUAUGUGUGCAUAUAAGAGGGCUGGAGCUCUGAGAACAGAACAAGACUACUAUCUAAAGCAUGAAAAUCCUAGCUCUGUGCAGCUUCAGUGGAGAAAAUCGAAUAUGAAUAUUUCUUUGGGCCUGUUAAACACCUGCCUGAUAGUUAGUGCUGGGUUUGUCUGUUUUAGGUUGCAAUAGAAAGAUGAAAUGCAUGGUGACAGACUUCUCUGAAAAUAUGGAGAUCAUGUUUCAUUCCUGUAUGUUUACCUCCCAGCAUUAGACUCUUUGAGUCUCCUUCCUAUUUCUUUAAUUUUUCAGGAUGACUAACUCAGGCCAAACUUUCACAAAAAAGAGUCUCUUCUGUAAGUCUUUAUUUAGAGGACAAAGUUUGAGUUUUUUGAUUCCCUAAAAAAAAACUCUUGAACAUGUGAAGGAGCUGGUGUGAGCUCAGUCUGAGCCUGCUAAAUAUUUCUGCUCUCUCUCUGGAUCUCAGCCAUUAAAACAGAGGGUAGACCCAGAGAAAGCCAGGAGGAGAAGUUUGAUUCUCUGCUCCACCCAGUCUGCUCCAACCUGACUGAAAUACAGCAGAGAAAGGGGGAGAGAGAGAGAGCAAGGGUGAGAGCUGAAUGAAUGAGGCAGACGGGAGAAAGGAGGGAGCAGGAGGAGGAGGAGGAGGGGUGAUUGUUUCUGGAGUGGUGGAGGUUUCAGAUUUCUCUUUUCUUUCGAUUCUCCCUCUAAAACUCUCCCUCCUUCUCUCUCUCUCUGCAGAUCGGGCUGAGCCCCGGCACGUUGUAGGCGUCUGCUCCCCACAGGAAGCCUGAGGAGGAAGAGGAGGAACACUCGAAGAAGAGAGGACAAAGAGGAAGAAGAAGAAGAAGAAGAAGAGAGAGAGAGAGUCGGGAAAGGUGGAGGGAGGUAAGCUCUGCUGCACGCGCUCUUUAUUUAAACUGAGAGAGGAAGAGGAGGAGGAGGAGACCUCUCUCUGCUUUCUCUGUGCUUUCAGUGUGUGUGUGUGCGUGUGUGUGUAUGUUUGGACUCGUGCUGAUGUGAGGACUAAGUAAAGGCAUGUCUGAGGGGUGUGACCACACAGAGGUGUGUGUGUGUGUGUGUGUGUGUGUGUGUGUGUGUGUGUGUGUGUGUGUGUGUGUGUCCAGUUAUAUAAAGAGUCAAGAUGCUGCAGUCAAGUGUGUGUUUGGGUCAGUUAUGUUUCAGAUGGCUGUAAAUCUAUUUUGGUCGAGCUAAAGUUCAGAGUGUCGGAGUUCUUAAAACCUAUGGAAGCGAUUGUGACUCAUAUCUCAAAUUCAAAAGCAUUAGCAGAAAUGCUUUUUCAUUUCAAAGUCAUGGCUGCACUAUUUGACUCAAAAAUAAAAAUCAAAAGCAA